UCACUGUUGUUGCCUAGGCUGGCUGAAGUGCAAUGGUGCGAUCUUGGCUCACCACAAUUUCCGCCUCCCGGGAUCAAGCAAGUCUCCUGCCUCAGCCUCCUGAGUAGCUGGGAUUACACGCAUGCAGCACCAUGCCCGGCUAAUUUUGUGUUUUUAGUAGAGAUGGGGUUUAUCCAUGUUGGUCAGGCUGUUCUUGAACUCCCCACCUCAGGUGAUCCAGCCACCUCGGCCUCCCAAAGUGCUGGGAUUACAGGUGUGAACCACUGUGCCCGACGAGAGUAAAUCUGUUAUAUAUUUUAAGCCAAUGGUUUUCAAAGUUUGGUCUCUGGACCAGACACACCAAUCAGCAUCCCCUGGGAACUUGUUAGAAAUGCAAAUUCUUGAGUCUUACCCAGAACUACUUAAUUGAAAACUCUGCAAGUGGGGCCCAGCUGUUCACCUUUUUUUUUUUAAGACAGGGUUUCACCAUAUUGGUCAGGCUGGUCUUGAACUCCUGAUCUCAGGUGCUCUGCCCACGUUGGCCUCCAAAGUGCUUGGAUUACAGGUGUGAGCCACCACUGUUUGCCUUUUAACAAGCCCUUUGGGUGCAUGCUAAAGUUUGAGACCCACCAUUUAAGCCAUUGGAGUCAGGACUGCAGGACAACUUGGUUGUUUACCUGCUGCUGAAAUAUGGAAUAGUCUUAACAAAAAGGGUCUGGGAAGAACCUAGAAUCGUUCUAUUUCUACCCCUUCAUUUCAUACCCGGGACUGAGUUUAGGGAGGAAUUCUAUUCAAUGUUUGACAGGAUGCUGCUCCUGAGGGCUGGGCCCCUUCUCCCUUGAAGUUCUUCCUCUCAUUUUUGUCAUUAUCAUCAGAAAUCUUUACUUUCUGCAUAGAGUGCAUAGAGUGAACCCCACAGAUGCUUUACCUGAUGCUUUGAGCUCAAGAUGCUUGUACCAGUCAGGAAACAAACUGGUGAUUAGAAGUGAGUUUAAUAAAAGUAAUAAAAAUGUUGUUCACAAAGGUACGGAUGAGAUAAAGGGAACCCUACGAAGGAUAGUGCAGGGCCCCAGGGCUAGUAAGGGCAAGGGGUGAGAGCAACGACUGGCGCCCAGAGAGGGAAGCUGUGAUGGGCUGAAGAGUGACGCUUUCCCCAAGACAUGCCCAUCCCACAAUCCCAGGAACCCACGAAUGUGACCUUAUUUGGAAAGGGGAUCUUUGCAGAUCUCAUUAAGUUAAGGAUCUUGGGAUGAGAUUACUCUGGUUUAUCCAAGUGGGCCCUACAUCUAAUGACAAAUGUCUUUUUAAAUGAAAGAGAGGGAUUUUAGAUAGAAGAGAAGACACAGAUGAGAGGAGGAGGCAAUGUGACCGCAGAGACUGAGAUUGGCGUGAUGGGGCCACAAGUCAAGGAAUGCUGGCAGUCACCAGCAGCUGGAAGAGGCAGCGAACAGAUCCUGCCGAUCCCAGAGCCUCCAGAGGGAACAUGGCCCUGCCAACACCUUGAUUCCAGACUUCUGUCCUCCUGGAACGAUGAGAGAACAUAUUGCUGUGGUUUUUAACCCACCAAGUUUGCUAUUUUUGGCAUUGUGGCAAUCAACAGUAGGGUCACUGCUACCCCAUGUAGAGCCCUAACCAUCCCUUCUACUGACAGGAAAUUUUGCUUCUCUUUGCCUGGUAAUCCAAGAGGGAGGACCAGCAUCUCCAUGGCAUUUCACUCUGAUUUGUGAAGAUUUGGCCAGAGAAAUUGUUCUCAAGAGGGUGAAUUACGUGACAGCUUCUAUUUUACGGCACCUCGCUAUCCACUUUGUAAGGAGUGGAGCAGAAGUUUUCAAAGACCCAUGGAAUAGGCCAGCCAUGAUAGUGCACUCCUGAAAUCGCAGCACUUUAGGAGGCUGGGAGCACUGUCCUAUGAGCAAAAACUGCAGCCAUCUCUGAGCCAUGGAAGAGACAACUGGGCUGGGGACUAGUUCAGCACGGACCUACAUUUCAACCACCAUGAUGAAGAAGACUCUUCCAUCUUCUAAACCCCUCCAGACCGUCUCUAUCCAGAUUUGGCACCUACUUCAUCAGGCUGACAGUUAAGAAGUUAAGCAAGAGAACUCAGUUGGAACCUUGAACCCUCCUAGCCUAUCAGAAGACUACAGAGGAAAAACAAGCUUAGGAAAGCUGUAUGUGGUGCCCUGUGGUGCAGGUGAGACAUCUAAAGACAGCAUCAUUCACACUGGAUCAGGAUGGAUGAUGUACUGAGGGAAGCCAGAUUGGAGGAGCCAGCCUGGGCAGGGGUGUGGCUGUUUCCGGGCAAGAGGCCUCCAGUUUUAUUUGGGAAUUCAAGUGGUUUGGGGAAGUUGAUUUUGCUGUUGGCUCAGUCGGGGAGCUCAGUCAGACAGCAUAUCCAGUCUCCAGUAAUGAUGACAUCUGGAUGGCUUAAGCUAGCCAUGUCCCAGUGAACUUGAGGACUUUCGCUGUGAAUGCUGGAACAAAGAAGCUCCUGCCUUCCUUCUCCAUGUGAACGAGGAAGCUCAUGACCUUGGGGGCGGCUGGCAGCUACCUGAAGAACAGUAGGGGAACCAGUGUUAAGAUGAAGUUGAGGUUAGAACAGAGACAAAGGAUGAGAAAAAAUUCUAAGUGAAACGAUUGAAGCUGGCAUACCUUUCAUCUUUUAAAAUUAGGCGAGCUAAUAAGCCCCUUUUAAAGUUUAAGCUAUUAGAGUCAGAUGUGUUUUCUCUUUUACACGCUGUCGAAAGAGAGAGCAGGUAGUUGCAUUGCCUCUCAGGCAUGCACUCUUCUGAAUGUAAAUGAAUCACAUUCUCCUAGAUUCCUUUCACAGAUACAGGUGUAGUAGAAAAUAAUUAAAAUGCAUUAAAAAAGUGAAUUCUUUUUCUGUACCUCAUUUUCCCCUUCUAGAGAACACAAGGGCUGUUAGCACAGCUGCCAGGACCUGUUAGUUAUGAUACUGGGCUGCACGGAUGGGUGUCCUCAAGAGAACAGAACCAGAAGGCAAUAGAGGGAGAGAUUCUGUAUUUCAAUUUCACUAUCAGCUUUCCUUUGCCAUGCUUUCUGUCUUUAAAGAAACAGGCGCUCUCCCCUCGUACUGUCUCUUGGAAGUUGAGGGCCUUCUAAGGAAGGAUUGGGGGUGUUGAAGAGAAGUGUAUGAGGAGAGGUUUGCAGAGUGUGGGCGCAGCUGUGUUAGGAGACAUCGAAAUAUCCCAGGAAUUUAUCUCUAUUUUAAAGGAAUAUAAACUGAGGCUUAGAGCUGGGAACCUGUUCCUCAGCACCCAGGCAAUCUGGCAGCAUUACCGAGAUUUGAACUCCAAGCGCUUGCUCCCAAACUAGGUCCCAUGCUCCAGAUGGCCUCUUUGCCUCCUCCUCAGGCCCAUGAAUUGCUUCCCCUGGAACCAGCCUGGAUGUUCUGGAGAAAGCACCAGGUCAGCACUCUCUGCGGAAGGUACUGGUCUCCGGAGAUGCCAUCUGCUGAACUUACUGUGCUGGGCUGACUCGGGCCCAGGUGUUGUUUGAAGUCAGGUGACAGGCUUUGAGAGCCUCUUGGAGCUUCCUUUGGGGGAACAUGGAAGAAGAUGUGAUGUGAGUCUCCUAAAAGUUGAAGAGGGGACUGAGGGCUGAGGGCUGAGGUGUGCAGUUAGCAGCAGCCCGUGAAUGUCUGAGUCGGGGAGAAAUUCACAGAGUGCUGUAACAUCCCUCCUGUUGCCUUUAGCUUCUGAAGUUCCAGUAAAGUCCUGGGAUGGGUCAUAGGGGCUGGGCCUCUUCCCCUAGGAAGAUCUUCUCUUUUUCACUGCCGUAUUUGAAAAGAGCAGGGACGAUGGAGCCCAAGGAGAGGCCAGGGGGCCUGGAAGAAAGGAAGGGGAACACAAAAGGGGAGAAAAAGGGUGGGAGAGGACAUAGGAAGAUAUUUAGGAUGCUGUGUGAAGAGGCUUAUAAAGUCUGAGAGCUGGAAGAGAUUUUUAGAGCUAUCUCUCACAUUCCUCAUUGCACAAGAGAGGAGCUGGCUGAUUCUCAGAGAGGGAAAAGUACUAGCCUAAAGGUUAGUCAUAAACUAUUGGUGGAGGUGAGACCGGAACCCAGGUCUUUCCACUUCUGGACUGAACUUAUUCAUUAUCCAUUGCAGUGCAAGCAAGUAACCCCAAAAUUAGUGGUUUAAAAACCAUAAACACAUAUUAGUUCACAGUUUCUAUGGGGUAGAAAAGUAAGUGUGUCUUAGCUGGGUCCUCUGACUCACAAUCUCUCAGGACGCUGCACUCAAGGUGUUAGGAGGGGCUAUGUGCUCAUUUGGAGACUUAAUUGGGAGAGAAUCUGCUUCUAAGUCCACCCUGCAAGCUCAUUUGUCGGAAUGCUGUUCCUUGCGGGCUGUUGGAAUGGGUUUUCUGUUCCCCAUUGGCUGUUGGCCAGAGGCUGCUCUAAGUCCCCUGCUGUGCAUCACUCUCCCUGUGGCCCCUCACAGUGGGGCAACUGGCUUCCCUCAGUGCGAUAAGCUAAGCGAGGGAUGCAAAAGAGAGUGAGCAAGACUGAAGCCAGUCUUUUUCUAGCCUUACCUUGGAAAUGACAAAUCAUCACUUUUGCUGUAUCUCAUUCGCUGAAGUAAGCCACUCUGUAUAGCCCACACUCCUCAACAGCAGAAGCAGGAACCAUCUUCCUGGAAGCUGCCACCAUGCCAAAUACUUCCCACUAGUAUUAGCUGCCUCCCUGAGCAAUAUAGCAGAGAGGGCUGGGAAGGCAGCCCUAAGAAGUGUGUGUUCUGUUCUACAGCUAUUCUGCCCUGCCUUUCCUUUGGAGAAAACACUCUUCUCCUCAAGGAAGGGAAAGCAAGAAUUAGUGGCAGAAAGGAUAAUUUAAGCCCUCAAAAGAAAUAAUCAUCGCAUUGAUUAAUACAUACUUAAAAUUUCUUUUUUCAUUGUUGGUCAAUUGUUUGGUGAUAAGAUAGAGUAGGCAGGGAAUUCAAUACAGAAACUGAAAGCUAGAGUCUGAUUUUCAACCAAGACAAGUCACUCAUCCUCAUGAAGCCUCAAUCUGUUGAUCUAGUCACCAAAAUGACAGUGUCAACUUCCUACAAUGAACUGAAUAACAUGUAAUACCUUUCAGAGUUAGUUCUUUCAUACUAAGUGACUUAGUUAAUAAAAACGAGCCUCCUGGAAUGUCAAAUGAGGACUUCCUCUCUUGCACUGCAUCCUAAACUUUAAAAGAAUGGAUAUGAUAGUCAAUGGGAUAAGGCAGGAAACAGAAGUAAGUGAUAGAACUAUAAGGGGAGAACAGCCAAAAUUUGGAGUGUUUUCUGAUUGUACGGUGGUGUAUUGGUUUGCUAGGGCUGACAUAAGAAAAUAAUGUACAAAAUUGUGUGCGUGUAUGUGUAUGUGUGUUUGUAAAUAUAUGUAUACACAUACACAUAUAGACAUGCCACACACACUCAUCCACUUUAUUUUUAAAUAUAAAAAUUUUAUCCUUUUAAAUUUAAGGGGGAAUCAUACUAUAUGUAUUGUUUUGCUUCUUGCAUUUUUUUGCUUACCUAGUAAUAUGACUUAGAAAUCUAUCCAUAUCAGAGCAUAUGUAUAUGUGUGUGUCUAUGCACACACACAUACACACACACACACAUCUACUUUUAAACUGCUAUGGAAUGUAUCAUGGUACAGAUGUGGCUUAAUUGAUUUGACUAGUCCCUUAGGGUGUACUUCAAUGGAGAAGUCCAUAUUACACUUCGCAGCAGGCACGUUUUUACUAGUAAACAACUAUGUUAAGAGUCUUGUAAACAUUAAAUUCUACCGUGACUAUUAUGGAACACUUUUUGUGCAGAGAUGUGACGAUUUCUCUAGAAUAGAUGCUGUCUUAGUUUUUCCUCCUGUAGCAAAAUAUCCGACAGUGGGCAAUAUAUAAAUAACAGAAAUUUAUUUCUCACAGCUCUGGAGGAUGUGAAGUCUGAGAUCAAGGCCCCAGAAGAUCUGGUGUCUAGUGAGGCCCAGUCUCUUCUUCCAAAACGGUGUCUUGAAUGCUGUGUUCUCUGGAUGAGAUGAACACUGAGUCCUCACAUGGGAGAAAGUGGAAGGGCAAAGAGGGACCUAUCUAGUUCCCUGCAGCCCUUUUAUAAGACACUAAUUCUAUCCUUAAGUGUUGAUUCCUAAUGGUCUAGUCAUCUCCCCAAAGCACUGCCUCUUAAUACUGUUGCAUUGGGGAUUGAAUGAAUUUCAAUCUAACAUGAAUUUUGGAGGAGCCACAAAUGUUCAAACCAUAGCAGAUGCCUCAGGUGAAAUUUCUGAGUCCAACGUGUUGCUUGUUUGCAUUUUUCUUUCUUUCUUUCUUUUUUUGAGACAGAGUCUCACGCUGUCGUCCAGGCUGGAGGGCAGUGGCAGGAUCUCGGCUCACUGCAACUUCCACCUCCUAGGUUCAAGCAAUUCUCAGCCUCUGGAGUAGCUGGGAUUAUAGGUGCCCGUCACCAUGCUCUGUUAAUUUUCUUGUAUUUUUAGAAGAGACAGGAUUUCACCAUGUUGGCAAGGCUGUUUUCAAACUCCUGACCUCAAGUGAUCCACCCACCUUGGCCUCCCAAAGUGUUAGAAUUACAGGCGUGAUUUGCAUUUUUAAUAGAUCAGCUCUUGAACUGUGUUUUGUUUCUUUUUCUUUUUUUUAAAAUUUCAACUUCUACAUACACACCAAGGUUUCAAAAAUCUUAGAGCUGGAUUUCUUCCUGGACACCCCAGACAUAAUCCUGGGUUCCUCUCACAGUUUAUGGGACUUGUUGGCUGCCCUGUUGAGUUUGUCACAAGAAAAAUGUGACAAACUCAACAAGGUGGGUCAUGGUUCCAAGCUCAGACCAGACCUUGGAACCAUGACUUGCCUUGUCACUCAUGUUCUAAAUCUAAAGUCUUUCUGGAUGAUAAGCCAGCUUCAGGAAAUGGCUCUCAGAUUUCUGAUUGGAGCUCAACAUCUUAAUACACAGUUUAUAUAUGGAAGGACGAUUUAUAGGCACAUAACUGGGUCAACUUAACGCAGAACAGAAUAAAAGAUGUCAGGCUUAUUCAUCAGUCUUUGGCUAAUUCUUCUACCUCUCUCAGUCCUGAGUUUGGAGGACACCUGUUGCCAAUGGUGUUCUAGGUGUGAGCCUUCUCAAAUUGAGGUCCAAUCUUGUCUCCCAGCUGCCACUUGGCUACUGCUGGCUGUUUGCUUAUUCUCUCAGUUCCACUAGCAGAAUCAACUGCAUCACUGUCUCCCCCAGACCUACCACCCUGGAGCAAGUCCCUGAAGACCAGCUCAGAUUAGUGUUAGUCUGAGUUUUGAAAGACACCGUAUACUUUUGAAGUAUAUGGAAGGCAGGAUCGACUUUGCUCCAACAGCCAUGCAUUUUUCUGGUUUUUACCAGCUCUCUAGGGCAGAAUUCAACCUGCUUCAGCUCUGAUCAGCUUUCUCAAAUGCAACUUUACAGUUAUAAGGUGGCUGCAUGAAAAAUUUAGCAUGCAAUUGAGAAGGAAUGCAUAAUUAAGAACUUCUUGCAUUUAACACAUAUUUAAUAUGUAAUUCAGCUGUGGUGGUGGAUGAUGGGCAUACUACGGCCAAUAGAAAGGAACAAACCAAAACCAUGACCCCCGCAGCUUUAUGGAGCUUACAGUGAGAGAAUUACAUAGGAACGGAAUUGAGAAUGUGAAAUGUGAUUUUGGGGAGCAUAAACAUGCAUGUGUUAAGAGCACAAAGAGGCUCUGACCUGGCCAGCGGAGGGGAUGGGGAUAUGGCAGGAACUGCUUCCUUAACAGCACCCUUACUGAUGGUUUUUUUUUCUGCGUUUUUUUCUUUUUUUUCCAGAGUCAAGGUUUCCAUGUCUCCCUCUGGUUGAGUGCUCUUUCUACUCCACCAUGUGAACUUGACCCACAUAUCUUAAUCUAAACAUAAGAGGCUGGUCUCGAAAAACCUCACAGUCCCUUCUAACUGCAAUGUUCUUCAUUCUCAUCCUCCCCCUAAGAUGUAUGUAGUCCCUGAUCAGCAGCAUCACCUCCAUCUGUCCAUCUAUUCAACACUCAUUUGUUGAUCAACUAUUAUGUGCCAGGCACUCUACCAGAGGCUAGAGGCAGUAGAGUACAAAAUAUCCCACCACCUGUCCUCAUAGGAUGUCCAGGUCAGGAGCAGCAGUUUGGGCUAAUGGAACCCUCUUCCACCCUCUGGCCAAAUAGUUACAUUUAGAAUUGAGGUGUUGUGAACAAAAUUGGGGACUCCUGGUGUAGACCCUGAGGGACCCAGGACAAUAUGUUUCAUCUUUCAGAUACUCAGAACGCCCAUGGUAAAACUCGUCUCUUUCAUGUGGAUCUUGAUGCCCUGCUCACCUUAGAGGCAUAUAACUCGAAGGGUGAAAUUGGUACCCAGACCACUCAUUCUACACAAGCACCAGUGUAUGAUAUAAGGGCCUCUUAUACCACAGAUAUUUAUGGAACAGUGAUUGUCAUCCCGGAUGAAUAUGAGAAACUAUAAAUACAAUCUGAGUACAGGGUAGACAUUCAAUAAACCCUGAGUUAGUGGGGAGGAUAUUGUCCCAGCCUGAGAGGCCCUGUUGUGAGCCACAUGGAUGAGACAGAGCAUCUUCAGAGAAAGUAUGCUCUAUUAGGAACAUGAGACCCUAGCAGCUAUAAUAUCAUUGCAUCUGUAGAGAGUGGGGACUUCUAGAAAGGCAUGCACAGUGAGCCAGGAACUGAGAAAUGAUAAAGCCUAUUCGUUUUUGCCUGACUUGAUUAGCAAGAGAUUCUUGGGGUUGGGUUUUAACAUUUGGGAAGAAUUUCAAAGAGAAAGGUGAUAGUGAGAAACAAAAGAGGGCUCUUUCCAGAAGGGAGCCUCUACUUGGCCUUUGGCCUAGUUCUCUUCCAGCCAAAACCAUGGAAGAUCAAGUUGGCCAAGGUGCUUUCUAGUCUCUGGGAGUCUUGGAGUCUCACCCAUUUGUUUUCCAUCUGCUCAGCAGGGGCGAAAGCUAUCUGUGGUGUGUACUGGGAGAUAGAAAAGGUGGGCCUAGGAGCAUCCUCUGAUAUCCACAAUGUUUUGAGUUUCUAUGUUUUUGUUGAGGAAACUGAGGCAUGGAAAAUGGGCUCCCUUUAAGCACAAAAAUCCUAAAAAUGAAAUUUACUUAGUUAAAAUGCAAUCUAAAAGAAGUAAGAAAGAGGCGUCUCCUUUGUCCAAGUCAUUGCUCUUUCUCCACACCUGUCUCCACCUCAUGGGGCACCUCCAUCCUUGGCCUUGCAACACGCCAGGCUGGGCAUCGAACCAACCUUUAUUCGAUGAAAUCAAGGCUGCCAGAUUGCCCCGCCCACCACUGUUCUGUUAGCCCAGGCCCCACCCUCCCCUCCCAGAGGAGACACAAAGGGCUUCUGUGACUCAAUCAAAAGCUCACAAUCCUUCUCUUUCUUUCUAGCAAGUGGUAACCCUUGUCUGACUUGCUAUGCAGUGGUCCGUGUGGAGGUUGCUCCUUCUCUGCUCCUGGGGCAACUCUCUAGAUCUACACACUUACUGUUCUCCAUGUUAGACCCUUUUGCAGAGAUUUCAGGGGUCCCUGUUUGGUUCCAGCUAACCUUGAGAAGAGUCAGGGGUGUCUGGGGAGGAACUGAUGUUUAUUGAGUACCCGGGAUGUAACGGGUAUAGUGAGAAUUGUUCUGCACGUGGAUUCCAUGUAAAUCUGCAUGCUGAUCCUAGAAGGUAUUCUUAGCCCAAUUUUACAGAACAAGUGACAGCACUCAGAGAAACUAGAUACUGUGUUCAAGGCUACAUAACUGCUAAGUUGUUGUUGUAAGAUUCAAGUCUAGAACAGGCUGUGGGGAAAGCCUGAGUUUUUCUGAUACAGUUUGUUACUUAGGGUUUGAAUCAGGCUGUUGGGUUUUUCUGUUAUUGUUUGUUGGUUAGGGUUUGAAUCAACUGGCCCUAUCUCUGUCAGGUCAAGAGAGAUUAGAAACAUCGUCUGUCUUCUCCUCCUUGUCUUCUACCCCUAAGCAUCCUAUCAAAACUCCUGUUCACUUCAGACAAUGACGUAGUCUGGUUUUGCAGGUAGAGAGAUGGGUCAGGGGACAGCAUUUGUGGCGGUCGGGAGGGCAAUAGAGCACAGAUUUCCAGUUUUGCCUCUGUCACUAGCCAAACCAUCUUGAGUGUGUCUUUCCUGAUCUCCAGGCCUCAUUUCCUCUGCCUGUAAAACACAGAUGCGUAGCUUAGUGUAAGUUAAGCACGCAAAAGCAGACUGGCUCUACCCCACCUCUGCUACUCACUAGCCCUGUGACCUUGGACACAUUUCUCAUCCUCAGAGAUCAUCAUCAUAUCCACUUCAUGGGACUGUGAUGCGAGUGAAAGAAGUUAAUACCAUAAAGCUCUUAGGAGAGUACCUGGUAUAGGUGUUUUACGAGUAAUGCUGUCAUUCUUCUUCCUAAAUGUAAAAUUAAUGAAAUUCUAGUAUUUUCAAAUGAAUACAUGGGAAAUAACAUUGAGUUUAAAGCUGAGUGCCACUCCCUUGAUAUUUGCUUCUCUACUUUUUGCUGUGUGUGUGUGUGUGUGUAUGUGUGUGUGGGCGUGUGUGUGUGUGUGUGUGGGGGCAUGUGUGUGUGUGUGUGGCAGUGUGCGUGUUUGUGUGUGUGUGUCUGUGUGUUUGUGUGUGUAUGGGCAUGUGUGUGUGUGGGCGUGUGUGUGUGUGUGUGUGUGAGUUAGCAGGCAGAGAUUUGAGUAGACCAUGGUGAAAAUUAGAUGUCAUCCUUUCCUCCUUGUGUGUGACAUAUAAAACUUCCCAAUACAUCCAAAAGAAUCAAUUUUCUGUUUUAAUUAUACAUGCUUAUAAACCAACUUUGAGCCCUUUCAUAAGAAGCUAAGUGUUGUCUGGGUGGAAAAGAUACAGAUACACAGUGGUCAGCAAUUCUGCCUCCAGACACCCCGAUAAGGUGAUCAUAGAGGCCCAUUGAAGGCAACAAGGAUGAACAUGAGAACAAGAACAUCGCAACAGUGCUUCAGCGAUCGCUUCCUCUACUCUAGACCUGAAAGAUUAAACUAAGAAGGAGACAGAGAGAGAGAGGAAAGGUGCGGGUAGAUAAUGGGCUCUGUCUAGCACAGGGCCUGGCUAGUUGGCAUUGCUCUAAGCACAAAGAGCAGAAAGUGUGAGGAAUGAGGAGUUAAAACCCAGGGCAGCCUAGGCCAACUCUAUCCAAAUACGGAAAUAUAUGUAAUGCAAGUCAUGUUUGUAAUUUCAAUUUUUCUAGCAGCCACAUUCUAAAAAGCAAAGAAGAAACAUGUAAAUAUUCACUUUUUAUUUGAUUUAACUUAAUACAGUUAAAGUAUUAUUUUAACAUGUAAUCAAUGUAAAAAGUUAUUAAUGAGAUAUUUUACACUCUUUUUCUCGCAUGGUGGCUUUGGUAGCUGAUGCGUAUGUUAUAGGAACACACUGCGAUUCAAACACGUCCACUUUCCAGUGCUUGGUAGCUCCUGCGGCCAGUGGAUCCCAGGCUGGAGAACCACAGAGCUCAACCCCAAGGAGCUUCUGUCUGCAGAAUCAGCCAGAGCUCGUCUUGCUUCCUGGCUGUUUGAAGUGGAAGGAGAGGAGGAGGGGACUAUUCUUGCUAGUUAGAGUUAGGCAGGGACAGAUGGUGUGCUCGGAGGCCAGGGUCCCCUCCAACCACCACACCUUUGUGUCACUGUACUCUUGGCUUUCAAGGACAUCACAGCAUUUAUCUUGGACUCUUUCAGAGAGUCUAUGACUCCCGGGCACAUUUCCUUUUGCUGUGGCAUGAAUAUAAAACGUGCACACUAGCAAAUGAGUCUGGCCAUUCUUCCAGCAGGUAGUCCUGCAGUGCAGUGUCCUGCGACUCCCUCCUUCCUACCCUGUUUGCUCUUACCUCUCUUGAUGCGAUCAAACUCUCUAGGUGUGGGAAAAUAAUGGCGUUGAGAAUGAAGUCACUUUCCGGUUCUGGUGGUGAAAAGUCAAAUGUAUGUUAUGUAUUUUAAACAAAUUCUUUGUGCAAAGAUAGCCAUUUUACAGAAAAAACUGCAUGUUAUAAGUGUGUUCACAGAUUGAGGGGUUCAGGAAAGUGGCUGUCGUGUGCUGUUUUUACGCUAUGCCACUGGUAUCCUGGAAUUCUUUGCAUGGCAGGGAAGUAGUUUCUUGUAUCUGUAGAGGGUAUCAUCGUGUCUGGCUGAUCAGCAUGCAUAUUCCCAUCUUUGGUAUCAGUCUCUCAAUUUUCCUUUCAGGACCAGCCCUUGCUGUCCCCACAGCAACACAAGCUUAGGCAUCAUUUUCUCUCUCCCGGGACUCUGAAUUUUUAGUAUGAGUGGUGUAAGAAUGAGAAACAGUCAUUUCAAUCAAAGGUUGCCCUUGAGGCCCCAUCUGAUGCCUGCCUGGCUCCCACUGUGAGGCCCAGUUGUUCAGCUUUUCCUCCUAUUCCCCGAGCUCUUCUACAUUCUUCGAAUAGAUUUCAUCCUCUCCCCACCUCACCCCACUUCUAAGAAGAAGGAAUCUGUUUCUGCUGAUCUCAAUCAAAUGCAAAUGAAUGUACAUUUCAAGCAGCAGAUGAGGGGUGAUAUGGCUCAUGAUCUGCAGCGUAGGGGAGGAAAUAAAAUUUAAAAAAAAGGAAAGGGUUGGUCAAAACAGAAAUCAAGGCUGGGUGUGGUGGCUCACACCUGUAAUCCCAGCAAUUUGGGAAGCCCAGUUGAGUGGAUCACCUGAGGUCAGGAGUUCGAGACCAGCCUGAAUAACAUGGUGAAACCUUGCCUUAACUAAAAAUACAAAAAUUAUCUGGGGUUGGUCACACACACCUGUAAUCCCAGCUACUCGGGAGGCUGAGGCACAAGAAUUGCUUGAACCUGGGAGGUGGAGGUUGCAGUGAGCCAAGAUCACAGCACCACUGCACUCCAGCCUGGGCAACAGAGUGAGGCUCCGUCUCAAAACAAACAAACAGACAAACAAACAAACAAACAAACAACCCAGUGAUCCUCUUUCAAGAGUCCAAUGGUGGCCAUGGGGGGAGAAGCCUGACUGUUUGCAGAGCACUUUCUUAUUUCUUCUUUCAUUUUUUUCUUCUGCUAUCCCUCGGUUGCAAGAUCAGAUUCAGACAGGGGUAAUGAAUGGUUGUGGAAGUUUCGGGGGAGCUGGGUUAGGACCUGUGCUAUAGGCUUCCAACUGAGUAUUCUUAUGUCCUUGCUACUCUGGUCUUUGGACCAGCAGCAUCAGCCCUAGCUGGGAACUUCUCAGAAAUGCAGAAUCUCAGGCCUACCCUGGACAGAAUCAGAGUCUGCAUCUUAUCAGGAUCCCCUGGUGAUUCCAUGCACAUAUAGUUGCAGAAGUAUUAUUGUAUAGCUGGUGUAGUAUUUUUCUUCCAUGUUCCUAAAGGGAACAGUACUUCGACAAAUAAAGGUCCAGUUUCUAAGCCCAUUGAAGCCUGUAUCCUUCCUUCAACUUUUAGGAAAGUUUUUAUUCUAAAGCAUUUUUGAGGACGAUCCCUGCUGAUUGUGAAAUUCAAGCUCUUUACACCUUUUUAUUAAAACCACCUGUGUGUUAGACCCGGGGACUUCAUAGCUAAUUAAUUUGAAAGAUAUUUGCCAAUGCUAAUGGGAAAAAGUAUGAUGCUAAUUGGUGAGUUUAUUAAUCCAUUCUUGGUCCUUUUCACCAAGCUUCACAGUCAGAUUUUAUUUUUUACAGUAUUUUAAGAGGUGGACUCAUUGGUCUUUUUUCCAAGAUUCCAUGGCUGUUUGUGUGUCCUGAUGUGACUGUGAUGCUCUCUUGUGUCCUGAUGUGACUGUGAUGCUCUCUCGUGAAUGCCUUGCCUCCGGGGACUAUAGCUCCCCGGAGUCUAUAGUCUAGGUAGAGGGAUAAGAUCAUCCACAACUCCUGAUUUGUUUUUUCUUUUUUUUUGAGAUGGAGUCCUGCUCUGCUGCCAGGCUGGAGUGCAGUGGUGUGAUCUUGGCUCACUGCAACCUCUGCCUCCUAGGUUCAAGCGAUUCUCCUGCCUCAGCCUGCCAAGUAGCUGGGAUUAAGGUGUGUGCCACCAUAUCCAGCUAAUUUUUGUACUUUUAGUAGAGACGGGUUUCAAUAUGUUGGCAAGGAUGGUCUCAAUCCCUUGACCUUGUGAGCCACCUGCCUAUUUCUCCCAAAGAGCUGGGAUUACAGGUGUGAGCAACCACACCUGGCCCCAACUCCUAAAUUUUAUAGGAGAGGAAAGCAAGCCCCAGGGAGAUGUAGGUACUCUCUGAUCUCAGGAUCUGGCCUAGGCAAAAGGGUCAGGAGAGGUAGAGGUCACAAUGGGAGCCUGAGGCUAGCUCUCUGCAGAGCAGGCAGGCACUACCAGGGACUUCUGUCCUCAAGUGUGGGGCCUACUUCCUCUGGUGUGGCAUCCUGAGACUAAGGUCUGGGAAGCAGUCAUGAGUCGGGAUCAGAUAGGCACAAUUAUACCUAAAAGACCAGUCCAGAAAUGAGGAGUCAUGCAAUAUACCCAGGGCCUAUAAUUCAUAGCAUUUCAGAUUCUUACAAGUCACCUGAGAGGUAGAUUUUAUGACUGGUAUUUUACAGAUAAGGAAGAUGAAGCUCAUGGAGUUAUGAAAUUCAUGUAAGAUCACACAGCUAGGGAGUGGGGAUUCAGACUCAGGGUCCACUCACCUCAGUGCCUUUGUGCUUCAUCCUGUGUCAUGCUGCCCUGCUCUCUGCUGUCUGAGGUCAGGCUUGGUUAUGGCAAUGAUAAAACCGGGCCAUCAAAAGAGAUGAAGUUGGCCUCAGUGGCAGGAGAAGAGAUGCGCAAAACUUAGAAUGAGGCAGGACUGAUAAGUCAAUCAAGGUCACAGAGCAAGAGGAGUUGGCCCAGAAGGAAUCAGGCCCCUGGGUUUUGAUUCUCAACUCUCUUGUACCGUGAUGCUAAUCACUUCUCCAACACUGAGCUCCUCAAUGGCUGCAGGGCUCUGCUGCGGGAGAAAGCUCGUGAUCGGAGGGCUAUGGGAGGGGUCAGGGAAAGAACCGAGAGAGGCUUGGUGGGGCCAGACAGGAGGAGAGGCAGGCUUUGUUAAAAUAGCUGGCUUCCUCAUGUACAACCUGGUGAGGCAGAUCAACCUGGAACCAAGACCUAUUGCUCCUAGAAAUCAGGGAUUAAGACCCUUUCCAGUUUGGGUUCUUCUCCUAGGAUAGGCCUGGAAGUGAGUGCUCAGAUUGCAAAGCCAGAAAGUGAGAGAGUUUUCAGGCUGCUGCUGCUGUUCUCUGGUUUCAAAGGACAGAACCUUUGGGUGACUCCAACAGCCAAGCCCUAGGUCGUGUCUUGCACCAGCUACCCCCAGAGCACAAAGUCUCCUCCCCGCUGCCAUUUCUGGGCCUUCACCUCCUUAAUGUAGCCCUGAGCGUUUCUCCAGAACUUCCUGUUUGCCUGCAGCUGCACAGAUGCAGGUCCCACCCAAGGGUCAUCUGGAAGAGGCUGGGUGAAAGGUGCGAGUUGGCUGUGCUCUCCAUAGCUCCUUGGGGUUUUCUCCACCCAUGCACGGGUCCCCUGGGCUUCACCACUCCCAUCGGAUUCUGAGGCCAGGGGAGCAGAGGCCUGGUAUCCAAGUCAGCUCACAUGAAGGUCAAGGUGACCCAAAAGGGCUUAUGGCCAAGAUUCUUAAUUUUUUUUUUUUUGAUUUUCACUUUUCCAAAAGUCCAAACAAAUGAUGACUUUAGGACAUAGCGUUCUAGAGAAAACUGGGAAGGGAAACAAAGUCCUCCUUGGUUGGGGAGAUGGAGAAAAAGCACAAGGAGAAAAAAGGGGGUGAGGCCUUUGGGUUUUCCGCAAGAGCGUCCCCAUGGUCAAAGACCCCUACACAUGCCUUGCAGGUGCUGAGGGCUACAGGAGCUGUAAACAGAGGGACAGAAUGAAUAUUCCUGGGGUACAGAGACUAAGUCAAUGCCAGUGUUGAAAAAUUUCCAAUAUGUGGGUCUGGAAAAUGUUCCUAGUGCAAAACAGUUUUCCGGGCGGCUACCAUUCCUUCACAGCUUAUCUAAGAGGACGGAGGCUGAAGUCACCGGGCGGGGAUCUGUCUGCUGUGGGUAGCCUUGGGCUGAUCACCACAUGCCUGUCCUAACGAUUAAUUCAUUGCUUCAGUGUUUAGAGUAUUGUGAAGAUAUAACCAUCAUAGAAUAUCGAAUUGUAUUGGUUUGGGGAUAAUACUGUCAUGCAAAUAACAUGAAAACAAGUUUUGGCAGGUAAGGGUUCGGGAGCCCCGGGUAACUCUUCUGAGUCUCUCUCCUCACUUUCUCUACAGUUUGCUCCCGAAGCGAUUUUGGUCCAUGAAAACAUAAGGGAGGAAGUAAGCAGGAUGAUAAAAUAGCAAACUUCUAAGGAGUCCAAGGAAAGAAGAAAUUUUGUCUACAAAGUUGUGUCAGCUAUGACUGUUGGAUUUUCAGAGCUUUUAUCCAACAUUCUCUGCCCUUUGAUGUCCCAGGGGGCUGGCCCUUAUGCUCCGUGUCACCUGGGGUCUCUUGUCUGCUGGCUUCUAACUGAGUUUGGUCAAUAAGCGCAGCAGGAGAUUAGAGAAAUGUCUAAAUGUUUCUUCCCUGUGUCUGAGCCUGACAACAGCUGUGAUCCUCCUAGUAUAGAUUUUACCAGGAGGUCCAUUCACAACCAUCCCUCCCCAGACACAGCUUUGGCUGUCAAUGGGCUCCUGGAGUGCUAUUUUGCCCUUUUGCCUUCUCAUUCCUAAGGGUCUGAAGACCUCGUUGCCAGGCUCUAGGUGUCUCUCCUGGUAAAUGAUCCUUUUGCUAACGUCUUCAUUUGGAGCAUCUGCAGGCAUCUGUAGCUCCCUAGUCAUAACAAGGUUCCUGAGGGAAGUAAAUGUUGCACACUCAGCAUCCCUGUAUUCGGGUUUGUUCCUGACUGUUGACUUUGCCCUAUGCGAGAGGUCAUCUGUGCAAAUUGGCAAUCCACAAGAAGUGAGCUGUUCACACUUGAAGACUCACGACGCACAGUCACAGCAGGAAGUGCGGCAAGGCAGUAAGCUUGGAAGAGGCAGAAGGGAAAGAUUGGGACCAGAGGCUGAGAAAUGAUACAGAUCAUCCAGACAGCAAUUGUAAUAGCGGCUCAGAUUGCGGAUGUGUGUGCAUCACCAAGCAAUCUCCAGCUGAUGCUCCCUUCUGCAUUCGCCUCAGCAGUAAGAAAUGCCAUUUCUUGGUGGGGCAUAAAGGUCUGGUCAUUUUGGCCCCAUGUUGGAUACUCUGACUGGCUAUACUGCCUGAUUGUGUGUUCAGCUCUUUCCUCCAUACAACCCUGCAGCCUCCCUCUUCAAGGACUGACCUCUAAUAAACAUCUUGCAUUCAAACCCCAUCUCGAUCUCUGCUCCGAGAACCCAAUCUGUGGGUUUAGCAAGAGCUGCGAAAGCACAUUACAAUAAUUAAACCUUAUUUUUUGGAUUUAUUUUAUGGGUUUCAUGUGUUGCAAGGAGCAUUCAUAUUUUAUGCAAAAGCAGAGAAUUCCCAGGGGCGUGAGAGCAGGGUGAGAGCCAUGGCUGAUGAGUUCUUUCAGAGCUUCUGAAGGAGAGAUUCUGGAGCAGAAACAUGUGCAAACUUCUAAGAAGUUAGAGCUUUGUUCAGUGACACUACAUACACACAUAGACUAAUCUGAGUUUGGUUAGAGAAGCAGAGACAAACAGAUGUCACAUUUAGGAGGUAAAAUAGACAUAACCAUGGAAAAUAGAUAUAACCGUGGAGGAUGAGGGUGUGAAGCAUUUUCCCUAUCCCUAUUUGACAAAAAGGGAAGUUGACAAUGGGAAACACAAGCUCUUUUUUGAAAUAUCUGUGGAGAGAUGUUUAUCACAUGAACACAGCUCUGAAUCAGUCUGUGCAUUCUUAGGGUUAUGGAAGAGUGAGGACUUGAAAAUUUUUACCCCAACAAUUGAAAUGACUUGUUGACAACACUCCUUGCCACCCCUUCAUAGUCUUUUCAUCCCAAUAUCCUGGUACCCACACAUUUGCAUGAGGCUCAGACUCUUUCCUCUGCUCCUGGUCCUGUCUCACACGCCCCACUGCUGGAAACUUCGUGUCUAACCUCAUGCCCCCUCAUUCCUUCCUGCUUAUACCCUUUCCUGGUUAUUUCCCCAGAAACCAUGUGGGCGGCUCGAGUUUAAAUAUGAGUCUCAAUUCUGAGGCAACAGGAAACACUUAAGAUUCCUGAGUGGGUGAAUGUGGAGAGGUGGUGUCACAUCCUUGACAAGAGACAUCGUAAAGUUAGGGCUUAAUAAGCAGAACCAGCGUUAUAGUCCCUAAGAAGACAGUUAUCUGUCAAAUGAUCAAUGAGGCUUAUGGCUUACUCAGACUGGGACAAUUCCUACUUCCAGGUUUAUUGACGGUCAUGCUACCCGCUGAUAUCCCCAGUCUUCAGUCUUUCCCAAAAUAACCUAAAGAAACCUAAACCCUCAUCACUUCCCCUAUGACUAAUAGGAUCCCUUACUAGCCAUGUUGGUCUCUGUCCAGGUGUUCCCAUCCCUUAUCCUGCCCAUAUGAUCAAUAAAUUAAGAGAUCCUCCUCCAGGUGGUCUCCAUCUCUGGGUCAAGUCUUUAGCUUUAGUUUAGCUUUCAACAACUCUGUAAAUCUAUAAGCUCUGACAAAAACAGCUUGCAUCCUUUGGUUUAUGCUAAUGAAUGCAUUUCUCCCUUUGGCUUAUGCUAAUGAAUGCAUUUCUCCCUUUGGUUUACGCUUUUUAUCUCUUCUCCCUUUCCAUGUUGGGGAGGGAGACAGCAGUUGGGAUAAAGACAAAUAUGGCCAUGGUGUGUGGCCAGAGUAGGACCACCAUGGGAGGGAACUGGAAGACAAAUUACUUUUGAAUUUUUCCAAGUCACAUUUAAUGGUUUCAUACUGGCCAAUUCUUCCCCAAACCCACCUAGCUCAGGAACCCAAGUCUUUCCAACCAAAAGAUCAAAGGAAACAGUUCUGCUUUCAAAAUUUUAUUAAGAUGUUGGGUAUUAAGAUGUUGGGGAGAAACAGCCAACAUAUACAUUCCUCAUUUUGUCACAACUGGCAUUUGAUCCACAUUCCAUCGGAAGUCAGGUCUCCUUGGCAGUCCCCCUUGUGCUGUUCUUGUUGCUGCCUGGUGCUGUGUGAAGUGCACCAGGGCAGAGCCCGCUGGAGGCUCACAGGUGGGAACGGUAAUUGCGAUUGCCUGUAGGGAAGGACAGGUUUGCAAGAGGGACACAAAUUAGAAAAUUCCCAUCAAUACUCUUAAUGCCCACAUCUGCAUUUAGUUCUUAGAAAUAAGCUUGGACAGAGAUUUCAGGGUCAGAGAGGGCUGCCUCCAAGAGGGAGGGCCUGGCAGCAAUGUGUGUCUAAGUCUGACCGUCUCCUACCCUUCCCUCACUCACCAUCAUCGCCCCGUUUCCUACUUUUCAGGCUGCCCCUCCGGUAUUUUCUUUUGCUGCCACCCCUCUUGACUCCCUUCUGAGGAGAUCGGCUCUUGCUCCUCCUCAUGCCAUGACCCUUUAAUUUGCGGCUGGUCGACAUGGUCAGUUCUGCCGGAAUGAGGGGCUUUGCAAGGCCCAUGGGCUAGAAGUCUGGGUAUUUAAGGCCUUGGCCAUUGUGACAGGGAAGGGGUGUGGCUCAGCAGGUGGGAGGGGCUCUAUUGUGCUGUCACUCACCUUUGCGGCCCUUUGUUCAUAUAUGUGAAAUAAAGCUCAAGAGCUGCCCUCAGUUUUGAGAUCCUUUAUAUGUUAAGUGAGGCUUUCCAGAGAGAUGUUAUUGAGCAACUGAAUCCCAGCCCCAUGCCAGGCAUUGGAGGAGUACAAGAGACCAUUCCAAUAUGCUUCUCCUGGCUGUAGGAAAUGUAACAGUCAUUGAGUGUGUGUAUAUGCAUGACUAUUUAAGUUUCUCACAGCAUCUGGAGAUGACACGUGUAUUUCUGUAAGGACUUGACUCUAGAGAACCCAAUUCAAUAUGAUCAAAAUAGAAAUACUUCUUCUUUCUCAUCUAAGGAUUUCUCAGUCUUGGCACUGCUGACACAGUGGGCAGGGUAGCUUUUGGUGGGCUGUCUUGGGCAUCCUAGGAAGUUUGGCAACAUCCCUGGCCUCUACCUACUGGACACCAAUGAAGUCUGCCAGCUAUGACAACCCCAAAUAUUUCCUAACAUUGCCACCUGUUUCUUUGGGAGGCUGGGGAAGUGAGGGGCAAAAUGACUCUGCUUGAGAACAAUUAACCUAAUUAUUUUUAAAAAUUCAGUCACAGAUAUUAAUUACAUAGCAUGUGCCUUACAUUUAGGUGGUAGAAAAUUAGUGGAAGAUAAAAACAUGCAGAUGCUGUGCUCAUGGAACUCCCAGCCCACGGGGGAGAAAGCCAUUCAUCAGGUGUGUACAUAAAUCAGUUAAUAAGUACUUGGAAUGUCAUAUUGGCUGAAGAAGGGCAGAGAGAAACCCUUUACAUGGUACAGGAUGAGGUUGGAGAGAGAGACAGAGAUCAAACCAUGAUCAAGUAUUUGGGAAGCGUUUAAAGACGUUAAGAGGAUGGCACGUGAGAUUAGAUGGCACCAAGUGGGUGAUGUAUUGACUGGAGGAGCUGUGUAAAGGGAGAUGCCCCUGUCAACCACUAGAGUUAAGUAGAGAGAAAGAUUUGAUGAUGGCUCAGACCUGUCCAAGAAGGAUGUUGAUUAAGCUAUAAAGUGGACAAGAGACCAAGACUUGGUGUUGGAUUGAAUUUGGGAGGUGGAAGCAGGUGAUGUCAAGGGUGUGGCUUUUGUUUCUGUAUAAUGCAGUUACCUGGAUGCUGGUCCAUUCAUGGAGAUAAAGGCCAGGCAUGGAGAGAGUGAUGAUGAUGCACUUGGUAUAAGACAUACUGCACUCACAAUGCCUUUGACACUUACAAAUAGAUAUAUUGAAUGGUUAUCGGGUGUAUAAGUCAUCCAGCCUUUUAUUUAUUCUCCAUUAUACCUCAUAGUAAAUGGUUUUGAACAGAUUUCUUUUUUUUUUUUGAGACUGUGUUGCUCAGGCUGGAGUGCAGUGGCUCAAUCUCAGCUCACUGCAAUAUCCGCCUCCCGGGUUCCAGCAAUUCCCUUGCCUCAGCCUCACGAGUAGCUGGAAUUACAGGUGUGUGACACCAUGCUGGCUAAUUUUUGUAUUUUUAGUAGAGAGAGGAUUUCACCAUGUUGGCCAGGCUGGUCUUGAACUCCUGACCUCAGGUGAUCUGCCCACCUCAGCCUCCCAAAGUGCUGGGAUUAUAGGUGUGAGCCACCGUGCCUGGUCUCAAAUGGAUUUCUAUGGAACAUGUUUGCUAUUUCUUCCAUUUGUCCCUCCUUCUCUCUCCACUGCCAUUAUCCUCAUUCAAGAACUGAGCAUCUUGCGUGCAGGAGGUCCUCCGCAAAAGUUGGUUAAAUAGAAGAGAGAAUAUAGUUCAAGCCCCACUCCCUGUUUCUCUGAUAUCUAUAGAUGGCAAAUUGUAUUUUGAAACCCAGAUUCUUUGAAUAGUCACUAUAUGUGACACUUUCCGUUUUCCUGCUUCCAGGAAGGUCUCUCUAGAGACUUCCUGUUGGUGACUUUGGUGACUUUUAUUCACACGAAGAAGCAGUACUACAGAACAGACUGCUGGCUUCCCUGUUGGACAGACCUUCUCCGUCCACUCUAGGCCAGUUCCUCCUGCAAACACACCCCAUGAAAGCAGGGACCUCUGUCAAGGCAGGAAUUGAGAAACGGGGCUCACCUCUGUCUAUUCCCUGGAGUUAAACAGUCCUGCCACAGAAUAGAAGCUCAGUAAGUGUUUGUGAAACACAUUCGGUCAAUGAAUAAGAAGCCCUUCUUUUAUUUUUCUAACUAUCCUGUUCCUUCCCAUUUUGCCCCACAUCGCGAAGGAAGACUUUCCAAUUUAUCCAAUUUUCACUGUCCUUUGAAACUUCUUCAAAGUUUAUUCUUCAUACACCAUUGACUUUAAACUCUAGACAACCAGCCCUAAUUGUGCAAAAAUCUUGUUUUAUGCCUACAUUGCUGUGCCACGUGUGUCUCAGCAGGAGGUGGUAUGUCUUGGUUCUGGUCUUGACUGGACUUCUCUGGACAUUAGCUCCCUUAUUCCAUAAAGAAGCAGAUUGGGCUAGGUGAUCUCUGAGAUGACCUUUGGUGGUAGCCUCCUUGUCAUUAGGGACUGUAUCUUUUAUUUCUACUGCAUUUUUCCACAAGUACUAGUAUGGCCCACACUAGUGGUCAGUAAAUAUCUAUUCAGUCGAGCUGCUUUGGUAUAUUAUGAGGACCGACAGUUCAACACAAUCACGGUGACUUUGCACAAGCAGGGUCAUUUCCAGGCAGGUAAGAGAGAACACAUUGUCCUCACAACGGGUCCUCUGGUGCUCUGUGCUGACCUCUCAUGCCUGACACCAUUGGCUAAAAUGUUUACAGAGGAACCAGCCUCUUUUUGAAAGGCAUUUUUUCUGGAUGGUCCUGAAGGCUGGAUACUAUUUCUCUCCCCAGUCCUUCCCACCCCCAAAAGACCUGCUCUGCCAAGGAGAAGCUGAGAUCACAGGGAAGAAGGCAGCCAGACUUGGGAACUAAUGAAGAAACAAACAAAAAAUCCCCUUUGCCUGGUGUUGAGGAGCAGUUCUGGUUCCAGACACCCAUGUUGAGAAACUUGAGCAGUAGAAAACCCCAUGGGGGACAGGGAAGGCGAUUCACAGGCCACUCAAGGGUGGGGUGUGGGGGGUGUUUGGGUUGGCUCCUGUGUCAGACCUCCUGGAGUGAGGACGGAGCAGGGCUGAGCACUGGCCACCACUGCCUGUCUCUGUUUCUCUUUCCAUUUCUGCCCCAGUGUCGCUCAAGCCAGCAGCAAUUUAGAUAGAGCCCAGUGAGCUACUUCUAACCCUUAGCAGGCCCAGAAUGAGGUCCUUCCUUGAGAAUCACCUGUUAAUUCAGUCUGCUGACUGUCUCACCAUUUUUUUUUUUCUGCUAUCUUUGCACAGAGAGGACAUAUGAGUGACUUCAAAUAACCUAGCAUAGAACUAACAAGGACAGCCCAUAAACCUGUUUCCUUUAUACCUUAGCUUUCCUGGGGGGACUCAACUUUUUCUCCCUUGAAGAAAAGAAAUGAAUAUGUUGAUCAUUGUUGGCACAGAAAGAGAGAGAACUAAAUUCCUGGCCUUUUGAGAAGAGAUGCUACCAGCCUCUUCUUUCUUGCGGCUGAGUGAGAUCUUGCCUGGAGACAGGUGAAUGGACAGGAUGAUGUCUGUAUCUCCUAGAAGAGUAGCUGCGGUUGCAGUGCAGGAAAGGGCUUGGAGGCCAGUGGUCUCUCUGGGUCCUUUCCUAGGCUAGGAAGGGUAGGCGUAGGGUGUCACUGCUUUGGAAGUCAGAUCUCUAGUUAGAUUCCAUCUCACGUCUCCAAUUCAAGCUCACUCCAUUAAUUUUUCCGGGGAGUCCAGUGGGUGCCUUCAUAGGGCUGGAUUUUCCCAGCAGGCUGAAACUUGGGGCUUAUUAAGAGGGAACAUGGAAAAGUUGCUGACAGUCCUUACACAUGUCGAUGACUCAGUCUGAAUCCUCUGAAAUCUAAGUCUCUGCAGAUGUUGACCUCAGCUGGGAAGUGGGGACCUUUUACCCUGUUCACAUGCACACCCUGUCAUCUCUACUGUUGUUGCUACUGCUGUUCAAAUAGGCCAAAGGGUUUGGGGACAGGCUGGAGGAGGGGAAAGUGGCUGAGAGACGUGCCGACGUGCCUCACCAAGGGGCAGAGCUUUCUGAACUCAGAACACGUUCACUGUCUUCAGCAGGGAAUUAGAAAGAGGCCAGAGACCAAGGCCAACGGGUAGUUUGCAGAGCGAGGGGGAGGAAGGAUCUUAACUCCAUUUACCCCUUUUCAUCCAGUUGUGGAGGUACAGGGAGCAUCCUGGUUCUGAGGAUGGUCUGGAGUCUGCCUGGAGAUUUGGUGGCAUUCUUUUCCAUUUUUCCAUCAGGCUUCUCUCCUAUUCUUUCUGCUGCGUUCUCAAAUUGUUUUUACAUAAACAAUUUCUGUUUUUUUCAAGGAGAGAGAGAUUGGGUGCUGAAAGUGGGAGAUUUAUCACAAGAGCAGGGGUCAUGGGAGGCUCUUAGGGACCACCUUGUCCUGCUCCUUUGGAGCCAAGAGGCUUAUCUCAGGGGCUGCACCUUGGCAAUGGAAGAGCCGGGAGAGAGGCGAGAUUGCUGACCCCAGGUCAAGGACUGCCGGCCGCACCAUAGUGCCUUCCCAACUUGACUUAAAAACAAACUUGUCAGUCGGGCAUGGUGGCUCAUGCCUGUAAUCCCAGCACAUUGGGAGGCUGAGGCGGGUGGAUCAACCGAGGUCAGGAGUUUGAGACUAACUUGGCCAAAAUGGUGAAACCCCAUCUCUACUAAAAACAGAAAAUAUUAGCUGGGCAUGGUGGCAGGCACCUGGAAUCCCAGCUACUCAGGAGGCUGACACAGGAGAAUCCCUUGAACCCGGGAGGUGGAGGUUGCAGUGGGCUGAGAUCAUGACAGUGCACUUCAGCCUGGGCUACAGAGUGAGACUCCACCUCAGAAAAAAACUCCCCCAAAACGAACCUGUCCUUGAGUGUCCACUCUAUUUGCCUUUUCUCUCAUGCAUGCCUCGCUAUGAUCACAGUGAAGGAACCUAAUUUUAGAAAAAAGUAGUUUGGAAAAAAGUAGUUCUCCUUAGAGCAGGGCAUGACUGGAGGAACUCUGGACAACUUUCAAGUUCUCAUUUUGAGAGCACUCAAACUUUCAUUUGCUUUUAGUUACUUUUGGACUUUUGAAAAUUGACUACUUCUUUCCUUUUGUCUUUCCAAGUCCCACUAUGAAAAACUACAUGGUAUAAUGGUACAUAAAGAAAAUCCAAAUUGGAUGCUUCAGCGGGUUCUAAUAAGGUUUCACAUUGACCACUAGCUACUAACCUGCCUCUAUUAACCUGAAUCCCCUGGUAACAAAAGAUGUCCUUUUCCAGAAUACACUGGAAAUAGAAUUCCCUUUAGCUGUUAAGAUAAAAGCUGGGCUGCAUCCUAGGGUAUUAGAAAAGGGUGUUAUGGUACAAAAAUAUCACACAUAUUAAAAUCAUUUGGCAUCCUGUGGUCAAGAAUAAAGUGUUUUAAUCCAUCUACCAACUGGAGUAAGGAACUUUGAGUUGGAGCAUUGCUAGAGAACAACUUUAUAAUAAAUAGGCCUUGAGAUGAAGGGUAACUUAGUCCAAAUCAUGGGCAGAGUUGGAUCUCAAACCUAGACCUCUUAAUCUCCAGUCCAGGCUUCUUGCCACUGUGCAAUGGUGGACUGAAGUCAUACUUUCUGCUCUCUUUUCUUAUUUUCUGUGCAUUUGGUCUGCUUUUCUCUUCUCCUAAGGGCCAUGUGCAGGGGCCGUUGCCCUCUUAAAAUUAUUUCAUCUGCCAGGAGUCAUCAAUUCAUUGAGUUUUAGGGUAACUGACCCUCUGAAAGAGGGGAAAGAGUUGCCAUCAAGAGGGGGAAGAGGACCACAGAGAUAGGUUGAGGCUGCCACACAUGAAGGUUAUGUGGCUUCAUAGUUAAUGAUUUCAAAAUGCUGUAACCAUCAGGCUGGUACAGUGCGUUGGAUAUAGGCGAUCUGGGUCAGAACCAAGGCUGGGUCAAGGGAGAGCAUCACAGUCAGCCCUACCUCUUUGGCUUGGCUUCCCAAACCUCUACUUCCUGGUCCUAGUGGUGACUGAGGGAGAAGAAGAGGCAGAUUGAAAGUAUAAUUUUACUUCAUGUCAUGAAACUCUUGAGAGACAGAGCUGGCAAUGAAAGCUUGCUUGACAGUGUCACUGUCAGGUUUCCCCAUUGUUCUUUGGGACAAAAUUAUCAUAUUUGCGGGUCUCAAAAAGUAGAUUUAGUUGUAUCUAUACUAAAUAAGAGGAAGAAACAGAAGAGAGCUUUGCUGCUCUUUGAAAUCCUACAGUUCUGUGGUCCAAAGUGUUUAGUAACACCACUCUUCAUUACAUUCUUGCUCUGGGGGGAGCAGGUAGGACUUGCCCAGAGAAAUGUUUAAAGCAAAGCCUUUGCUUUUAGUAAGGACCAAAGAAAGAUCCAAAUGCUUUUGAGUAUGGCAGUAAUCAGAUUUUAUUAGUCAAGAAAUUCCAGAUACUAUGAAGCUUUAUUUAUUGAUCUUCUGGUGAGGAGGAAGUGUGGGAGGUCAUACCAUGGAGACGUUCUGAGGAUGCACCACGCUUGUUUUCUAAGACUGCUGUGACAGGGAAAAUGCACUUCCUUCAUGCUGCGAGAGAAGAAAGAAAAAACUGAGGUUAAAAGUGUCUCUGGGUAGAGUGGGACAGUCUCGGGAAGUUCUUCAGGUGGGCACACAAGGCUAACUUGACAUUUCCCCAAUUUUCCCUUACGAUUUUGUUACCUCUUUAACUCUGGUUUGGCCUCGCUUACUUGCUACUUCCUGUGACAGCUGCUUUCUUGUGGGUGUGACUAGCUGGGGCUGCUGCUGUGGGCGGUAAAGGAAUUUACCGAGACAGUCAUAGGUAAAGAAAGCCAGAUUUAUUAGAAGAAGUACGAAGCUAUGUUGCAAGAAAGCAAUGGGCAGCGCAGCAGAGAAGGGGCUGUCUGCAAAAAGGCAGGGGCUGGAGGGGAUUUUUACAGGGUCUAUAUGUAGAAUGAGGUUGUGCUGCUGGGGCUGUGUGGGCAAGGAGGUCAUUGUGCUCACAGGUUGUUUGUGUGUAGCCAUUUCUCAGAACAGUUGUUCAUUGUUCUCCCCCAACCUGGGCCAGCCUUUCCCCAUCUUGUGCCCCUUGUUACUUAUUAGGACUCCACAUCCUCCAGAUAAAAAAAGUGAUGUCUCCCCAGAACCAGCUACAUAAAUUGUGAAGUCCAUUGCAAAAUGAAUAUGCUAGCCCCUGGCUAAAAACUUAUUAGAAAUUUCAUGGUGGUGACAGAUAAGCAUAAGUGUGAGAUCAGGGUGGGUAAGUGAGUACAAGGCUGUUUGUGAUGCACAGGUCCCGUGACUAUGAACCCCACCCUGUCUCUCCUGCCUCACUUAAGACACCACUGAUGGCACAUACCAGAUAACUGAAUUGAAAAAUCCCUAUCUCAUUCACCUUUAUAGACCAGGAGAGCUGGUCAAAUCUCUUAUUCACAAUGGGAGACUGAUGAAUACCUGUAAAUGACUUGCUUCAUACUGAGGCUAUGCCGUGUGCCUGAGAAUGAAUUUAGCCUCUUCAUUACUGGCUCCAUGACCAUCUCCUCUCCCCUCCUCACACCCCUCCUCCAUCCAUAGCUGGUACUGCUCCUGUCUCCAUUCCUCCGACUCCAACCUGCGAGCCUUGCCUAUCGCUACCCGCUUUCUCCUACUUCUCCUUGUUCUCCUUUAGUGGUGCUUUCUUCUAUGCUCCUGUGGGAAACUGGCUGAGUCCUGGAGUACAUGCAUUUCUGCUGUGUCCUAGUGUGGCCGAAUGCACACAUUCAGUGCUCAUACUUAGUGAUGGGAGAUGUCAGGAGCCCGAAGGGGGCUUUCCAGUCAUUUACCUAAAGGUUAUAUUCCCAGCUCUGUGACAGAAGGGGCCCAGUUGCAAAGAAGCUAGGCCACUGUGACUUGGCCUUCCCCUCUCUGGGAUGUCACAAAGUCCACGUGAGGUCAGUGAACCAAUCUACAAGUGAAGAGCUGAGCAGGGGACCUGGUAUGAUUACCUCCAAUAUUUAGUCAGACUGAUUUUCUGGAUCCAGCCUUCCCAAAUUACUAAAUGUGAACAGAUCAUUUUAUCUUCCCCAGUCUUAAAAACCUUCGGUAAGCGAAAGAGAGAAGGACUCAGGCUUCGUGGCAAUCCUAUUGUCUUACUAAUGAGGAGACUAAACACCUAGUUGGAGAUCACCUCCUUACUGGCUCAGAGCUUCAGGAAAUUGCUUAAGGGUGUGCAAAUACUAAACAGCAGAGCCGGGAUUUAGAUCGGCAUCUACUUUAUUUUAGUGGAUGUGCUCUACGUGCUGCCACAGAGGGGAUGCAGAGGAAGAUGGUCAGUUACCCAGAGGGUGAUAUCUUUGACUUCAUGUUCACCAUAAAAACAGCUAUCAACAAAAGACUUGAAGUCUAACUUGUCAUCUGUUGCAGGACAGUGCCUGCGAUGUGGCAAGUUCUCUAGUGAUAUUGAGCCAUUUAACUCAAGUCAGCAAUGGAGUUGGAGAAGAAGGGGGACAUGGAUGAAUCUGGAGAACAUCAUCCUCAGCAAACUGACACAAGAACAGAAAAUGAAACACCGCAUAUUCUCACUCAUAGGCGGGUGAUGAAAAAUGAGAACACAUGGACACAGAAAGGGGAGUACUAAACACUGGGGUCUAUUGGGGGGAAAAGGGGAGGGUCAGUGGGAGGGGGAGGUGGGGAGGGAUAGCCUGGGGAGAAAUGCCAAAUGUGGGUGAAGGGGAGAAGGGAAGCAAAGCACACUGCCAUGUGUGUACCUACACAACUGUCUUGCAUGCUCUGCUCAUGUACCCCAAAACCUAAAAUCCAAUAAAAAAUUAAAAAAAAAAAAAAAGAAAACGGGUAGUAGAGGAAGGCAGAGGCAGAGAAGCCAUACAGAAAGAAGAAUGUGAAGGCAGAAGCAGAGGGAGAGAGGAAGAGAAGAGAGGGUUGUGGAGGCAAGAGGAAAGGGGCAGGAAGGCCUGGAAGACAAGGCAGGAAGCAGCAUCACAGGGUUGUCUGUCUCCUGGGGUAAAGGCAUCUGGGUGGACCAGCAACCUUUGCUCCCUUUUGUCCUUACCAGCCUUGGAGAAGUUCAUCAACCCUCCAGGCUGUCCAGGCCCAGGGUGAGAUUGGGAAGGAGGCUUGAGAGGAACUUUACUGGAAGGCCUGUUGGCUUACCCUAGGGUGCAGAAAUCAUUUGAGGGCUGGGGAGAGAUAUGUCUCAGGCCCCUUCCUGCCUCCAGGAGCCUGGCCUGCCUGGCUGCUGGCCACAAGAGCAGGGCCCAUCUCUCCUCCCCACUGCACACCCUGUAAGCCAGUCAUGUGCCUUUUUUCCCCCUCCCUCCUCCCCUACCCCACCCCUUCAAGUUCUCAGAACUGGCUCCCAUUAGGUUCCAGGAAAUGGCUGGUGCAACUUUGUAACCAAAUCCGCUCAAAUCCCUUUGUAUAUCUUUUCUGCUCCCUUGCCCCCUCCUUGGUGUCCUUCAUGGCUGUGUCUGGUUACAGAGUAGGGACAUGGCCAGGGCAGGCUGGCCCUGGCACAUGCAGUCACAUCUGAGUCAGGCAAUAGCACCCAGGGCUAGCAACCUGUGGCAAAGCAAAGUGAGACGUUCAAGUGAACCCCAGCCCUCUUCCCGCUCCACCAAGAACUAGCUGUGCAACACUGAGCGUGCUAUUUUUCCUCUGGGGAUCUCAGCUUUUCUCACCAGCAGUGUUAGGGGAACCUGCCUUUGGCCAGCUCCAUAAUUUGCUGGUGACAGUCAAGUGAAAGAAAGCACAUGUGUCUGGCAGAAUACCUGGACAGAGGGGGGUUCUCAUUGAGCAACUUAUAUAUGGAGACCCAAGACCCACAGCAUUCUAGCCCAUGCAGGAGUCUGCCCAUUUCUCCCUUGUGGGACCCUGAGGCUUUCAUUUAAAAGCAGGAAUUUUGAUGGGAUGUCGGUUUUCUGCGUGUAGGCCCACUUCUUCCUCAGAAAAAUUUGUGGAGUUUUACAAAGCCUUGGUGUGGGUGCCAGAGAUCUCACUAGAAAUUCAGAGGGCAGGCACUGAGCCUCUUGCCAGGAAUCCCCACUGUGAUUUAGGCUGAGGCUGGGACCAGGCAACAGGUGGCUUCCGGUGCAGCCUUGGGGACUGAUUCUGGCUGGGGCAGCAUCUGGAAGACUGUCAGGGAGAUGGUUGUGGACAAGAUUCUAUUCUGGGAGGGCACCAGAGUGUCCCAGGCAAAAGGUGGCCAGUUGAUGUAUUAAAAAAAUGGAUCAAACAUCUGCAGAGUAAAAUUCUGCUUAAAUCUUAAGUCUAGGGAGGAAGCAAAGAGAAGAAAGCAGACAGGAGGAAAAUGAGGGAGUUGACAACUGAAAGUCUUCAGACAUGUGUUUAGGGGUUUAGAUGCAAGCAGAUGUUCAAAACGAAGUCAUCUGUCUAAUCCAAUGUCCAGAUGAAUGGGAAGAAUAGAGCCAGCCCCAGCUGGGCUCCCAGGUGAAGCUUGGUGUUCUUUUCCCUUCCAUGGAUUUGGCAAACUUCAGUGUGGAAAGGGGCUUGUUGAAAAAUUGCUUAGGGCUGGGCGCAGUGGUUCAUGCCUGUAAUUCCAGCACUUUGGGAGGCCUAGGUGGGUAGAUCAUUUGAAGCCAGAAGUUUGAGACCAGCCUGGCCAACACAAUGAAAUCCCAUCUCUACUAAAAAUGCAAAAAUCAGCUGAGUGUGGUGGCGCACACCUGUAAUCCCAGCAACUUGAGGGGCUGAAGCAGGAGAAUUGCUUGAACCCAGGAGUCGGAGAUUGCAGUGAGUUGAGAUAGCACCACUGCACUCCAGCCUGGGCAACAGAGUGAGACUCUGUCUCAGGAAAAAAAAAAAAAAAAGAGAGAGAGACAAAAGAAGAGAAAAGAAAAGAGAAGAAAAAGAAAAGAAAUAUUGCUUAGUUUACCCUAAAAUAAAGAAAGUGGAGCCAAAGAGGGUUCCAUAUCUCAGUGCCCAUACCGCCCUAGAUUGUGAGGAGAGAGACGGCCAUCCCUCCUCAUUAGGGGCUUUCUUGGAAGUAGGGUCUCCGGAGUAAUGAGGGAGAUGGAUUUGAGGAAUAGCCUAAGGAGACUGGGGAGGGGCUGGACAGGUAGGUUUUGUCAAGGACCUAUGGCAGCAGUUCUAAAAGUCUGGUGCUCCAAUCAGUGGCAUCAAUGUCACCAAGAAAUCUGUUAGACAUGCAAAUUCUUAGUCCCUUCCUGACCUGCUGAAGCAGGACCUGGGGUGGGGGCCCACCACCUGUGUUUUAGGAGCCCCCCAGGUGAUUCUGAUGCUCUCUAGUGUUGGAGAACAAUCAGCCUCAGGUACUCAGGUGGGGCAUAUCGGGAAGCUCAGCGCUGUCUUGACUGGACACCAUUUGAAAUCCACAAAGGAGGCUCACGAGAGAACUCUCUCUGUUCUUCCCUCCCCUCUUCAUCAGCUACAGUGUUCUUGGGUCUCCUUCCUGCUUGGCACAUCCCAUAGCCACCCCUCUUGGCCACAGCCUUAUCUGCUUGUCUCAGAUAAAGAGUGAAUUGGCUUAAUCAGUCUGGCCGGACUGGCUGGCUCCAGGGAGGUCUGCUGCUGGUGCCCCUCACAGGAAUGGAGCCGCUCACAUGGCUGACCCCCUUCCCCACCCCAUGGGCCCUGUCGCCACCGCCAUCUGUCCUCUAGAAGAUGCCGGGCCUCGGUUAUACUUUCCCUCCUUUGCUAAUUAAUCCUCAGCAACUUUAUUGCCAAGAGAGAUAAGGGGUGACUAUCUAGAGCUUCUGUGAAAAUCACCAUGGCCAAAGCCUCUGUCAAGACCAGGCUGUCUUCUGGGUGGCUGCUGAAGGAAAGAAAGAGGAAUUGAACUGAGACUAUCUGAGCCUGCCCCCAAACUUAACAAUAUGCAUUUGUACCUCUCAAUCUUGCAAGAGAACGGACACUUGGAAUGACUGCAGAUGCUCUGCCUUCACUAAGGAUUCUGACUGUCUUUUAGCUACUGCCUUGCAUGGUUAGGUUGCCAGGAUUUCCUGGAGACUGAGCCUGCCUCUUUGCAGGGGCUGGGACAGAUGAUUCGGAACGCCCCAGGACCGGCACUUCUGAGCAGAAUUCAUGCCUGGGCUCACCUCGGCUUUUCACAGCUCAUCUCACCUGCCUCACACAAAAUUCCGCUGCCUUCUGUGCCAGGUUAAAGUGGCUCAGAGUAAACAAAAGGACUUUACUGUGGGCCUGGGAGUUCUGCAGCCUGACUCAGCUUCCUGUGAAGAGUUUGAGAGCUGGGCUGUGUCUGUGGAAUGAGGGGCCCAGUUCCUUUUUUCUUCUUGCCUGCGGUUCUCAGAUGGUUAGCUGUCACCCCAGCAGACCCAAUAGUGGCACAUAGGGACACACUCCAUGCAGGAGUGUGGAUGAUCCUCAUAUUAGAUUCUUUAAGCCUCAUCUUAUAUUAAUUUGGGGUUCCUUCUGAGUGUACCUUGAAUAAAGAAUUUUGGUGCAAUGAUUUAUUCAUGAGGUGAUUCCAGGAAACACAGUAGAAAAUAGGUAAAGUGGAGCCAGGUAUGGUGACUCAUGCCUGUAAUCCUAGCACUCUGGGAGGCUGAGGCUGUGGAUCACCUCAGGUCAGAAUUUUGAGACCCGCCUGGCCAACAUGGUGAAACCCUAUCUCUACUAAAAAUACAAAAAUAGCUGGGGGUGGUGGCAUGCACCUGUAAUCCCAGCUACUCAGGAGGCUGAGGUGGGAGAAUUGCUUGAAUCUGGGUGGCGGAGGUUGCAGUGAGCCGAGAUCACACCAUUGCACUCCAGCCUGGGCGACAGAGUGAGACUGUGUCUAAAAAAAGAUAAAAGAAACUAGGGAAAGUGGGAUGUGGGGAGUAGAUGUGUUAGUGAGCAGGUUGUUUGCGUGGGCACCUGGGGUCAGUCCGGAAGGGGAUAUUCGGGAGGCACUCCCUCUAGGAGGAAACUGGGUGUUUAUCUACCAACUCCUAUUCCUCCUGGGACACUGAAUUCCCUGUGCUCUCAAUCUGACCCAUGUAUAGAUAGAUCAUAUUUCUGAGGCCAGAGAAAGCCCCAGGGCAGAGAGAUGAUGGUGGCUGAGGUAGGGAGCUGUCGGAGUGGCUGCGAGUGGCCUUCAGGGAGGAAUAAGGGAAGACGGGUUUGCACAGAUGUCAUCUCCUGCAAGGAUCUGGAUGUGCUCCCACUCCCCUUCUUUCUUCUUUGAGAUUGAUUCACUUCUCACUCAAGUCUUGGAUGCAGAAGGAAAAUCAGAGCAAAAUAAAUUAGGUGCCCCCAAAUGCAUUUGUUUGUGGGGACCAGAGAGUUGAAGGUAUCAAUGUGUGUUUGCAUCGCUUGCCAAACUGUGGCUCAGAGUGUCUGGUCUAAGAGCGGCCAUGCCCACAGGCCCCCAGGGCCCACUGCCGACUACACGGGGGCCUGAACUCUCCUGCUUGUCCUGGCUUUUGGCAUUUCUGGCCUGACACAGUCAUCAUCUAAAACCUUGAUUUGGGGUCUUUUUAUGUUCCUUCCCACACUUCCUGGGAUCACUGGUCAGCUUCAGAGCCAGACUGUUGCUUUGAGAGUCCUGGGAGAGGGGAAGACAGCAGGAUGGACGAGUGCAGUCAAAUCGUAACCCUUCUUCCUACGAUGCGGUGAGCAUUAUCAUGCCGAGGCUGGGGAUUAGCUAUUCUUCAUGCUCAGAGAAGACAGGCAAGGGGGAAGAUGGGUCAGCCAGGUGGAAGCUGGGAGGCUGAAAGAUUACAGCUUUUAAGAGGGUCCUGUCCAGAUUUGAUGGCCUCUGAGGGGCCUCCUGGUUCUCUAAAUACAAAGUUUCUCUACCACUCAAUAUUGAAAUCCUGCUUUAAGGCAUUCAUGUUAAUCCAUUCUUUAUUUCUUAAUUUCACAUCAUGUUCAUUAGCCUUAAAAAAAUAAUCAAGCCAAGGGCAGCUUUGCCGGUCCUUGAAGAUGAUUGAGUUGGUGGGCGGACCGGAAGUCAGCCUUCAGAAGGAUUCCUGCAGGUGAGGGGAGGAGCUGCCUUUGGCUCUGAGCCACUGGACAGAGUGGAGAGAAGCACAGCAAUGGAGAUGAGCAGGAGUGGAGUGGGAGAAGAAAGGAUCACGCCUUGGUAGUCUUCUCCACGCUCUCCUUCCCCGUGAUUCAUGCCAUCAUCACUUCCCAUCUCGGAACCUGGGCUCACAUCCAUUCCAAAGCCUUUCCUGAUCUGCUUGGCUGGAAACAGCUGCAGACUGACAGAUGUCUUCUUCAGGAACUGUGACCUCUCACACCCAUCCUGGGGUGGCCACGCCCUUCCAGGUCCUGCAGAGAACAGUUCUUCUCAGGACUCUCCCAAGAUCACCAGGCCUGUCCCUGAAGCCCUCCAAUACGGGGCUUCUUCCCUCCCAGCUCUUUCCCCCUCCCCCACUCCUAUCCUUGCAUGCGCCCCACUCCAGUCCUAUUGGCUUCCAAUGCCUUAAUGCGACCUUCCCCUCCCCUCUUGCCGGUGCAGCUCCACCCCUCACAGAUCGCUCUAGAUCUCCUCACUCUUUUCCUCUUGCUGGAAUGAUUUGGUUGCGAGGUGUGUGUCGGGGCGGGUACAUAGUCUUUGGAGGCUCCGUCAGCCAGUCCAGUGCCCACAUCCUCUGCCUGUCUCUCCUACCCCACCUGCUGCUCCAUCCCUGUUCCUUGGCUUUGCCUGCCUUUCCUGACAGUGGCAGUCCCUUUCCACAUCCUAGGGUGCUGUGAGAACCAAAUGAGACCAUAUACACGAAAUGCGUGGUAAACCGUAAAAUCUCCGAAAGUAAAAGGAACGAUGCAGUUCAUUUUUACAGAAAACCAAGGUCCCCAGAAGCUCAUCAGUUCUGUGGUGGACACAAGACCAGGCUCCAUCUGGUCAGUGGUUCUCAUGGCUCACUAUGCUCAGAGUGACCCAAGAAACGGAGUCAAGUGCAGCCUCUCCAGACCUCGGAAUGCGCUCUGCUUCAGUGGGCCUGAGGAACCUGGAUCCUCAACACAUGGCCACGGGGUUCUGAGGAGGAAGUCCUGGUAAAAAGACUCUCACCUAGAUUGUCUGACUCUUGACCCUCCUUCACCCAAAUCUAGAUCAUCCUCUUGCUGAAUCCUACCAAGGGGCGCUUAACUCCCUGUGUUUACCUUUGCAAAUUCACUAUUUUCCGAAGGACUCAGGUUGGGGCCCAGGCCUGUGGGCUGAUGGCAAAGAAGUAACUAGAAAUUGGCUCCCCAAACAGCAGCUUCUGAAGCUUUCUGGAGGCUUUAGCCAGAGUUCUCAAAGUGGGUGGGAGCAGGAGACCACGACCCACCCUGGAGCCUCCCACUUGGCUUGGAGGCCCCCCUGGGCACAGAGGCAGUGAGAGUCAUCAGCACCUUUCCUUGAGGCCAGUGGAGAGGUUCUAGGGACACUGAGGGCCACUCCCCCUUCCUAUGUAAACUCAUCCCUCUGGGCAGCACCCCCCUUUCUAGCAGACACUGCACUAGCAAGCGGCUUUCUCAGGAUGCUGUGUGCUGCCAUGCUUGUCUCCCCCGGGGCUUUCCAGGGCAAUGGUGGGUGUGGAAAAGCUCCUCCUGUUUAGAUGUAUACGGGGAGGCACGUGGAUGAAGGCAUUGCUAGGUGAUGCUGAGAGACCAACAGCCUGCUGCAGAUUGUGGAAGACAUGGCAUUGUCAGUAUGCAAGAGGCCAGCUGGGCCCAGGGUAGAGGGGUGGCUGGUGCCCAGCACCAAGUCCAUGGGGGAGCCAAGCAGCUGGUAGGACCAGCCUCGGGAAGGGCGUGACACCGAGUGGACAAUGAUAAAGAAAACAGGGGACCAAAGGGGCCAGGACUGAGGCUCUUCUGGCUUGUAGGAGCUGGCUGGGUAUCCUUCUGCAUGGUACCUCCCUUCCAUGGGCCUCUGCCCGCCUGGGGGAAAUAUCAGAGACUGAAGUCUUAACAGGCACUGGUUACCCAGAACAACAUAUAUUUUCAACAAGAUGAUUGGCCAAAAUCAAGGGUUCUCAAACGUUUUUCUAUGAACAGAGGUUUCCACUGCUGGGCCAUCCCCAGAGGAGCCUGUCUUGAGGAGGAGUCCUGGCCACACUUACUUGAUGUCUUACUUCUACUCAUUCCUGGAGGCCUUAGGGGAAUUUCCAGGGUGUCUUCUGAGCUGACCUGGUGCAGUGGUUUUUGGUAAGUAACUGAAUCACAGCUCUCUCCCCCUUUCUCAGGUGGCUCACUGUGCCGGGGACUGAAUAGUCCUUGGUGGUACAAGAGGCUGAACCACAAGUCACUUUAGGAGGUGGAUGUCUAUUUCAUGCUCUGCAAGAAGCACUGCCAAAUAUUCACAACUCCCAAGCUAGCAGAGUGUCAGAUCCCCCUGAGAUUCUCACUGCUAUGCAUAGUAAUAUGACUCAUCAUUUCUUACCAGUUGCCUGAAUGAAUAAAUUUGCUUAUUGAUUGGGUCCUGAUGGCUCCCGUCUUUGAGUCCUGAAAGAAAAAUCUUGUGCGGUAAGUUGUUUCAGCUGAUGCCCCAGCUAGGCUUUACUCUUUGGGUCAUUUUCAAACCCUGCUAGGCAGCUGGCCAUGAGGUUCUGGAAAGAAUGGGAGUGGUGUUCAGGGCGGAACAGCAGGGCCUUUCCUCUAUGUGUGUGGACAGCCGGGAGGCGUGCUGCCCAGACCCCUGUUCAGGGCAGGACUUCUUGCCCAGCUAUGGGUGUGUGGUCAGCAGAUGGCUUCCAGCUGUCAGCUCCCUUGGCGUUGACCUCGGCUGCAGAGAACAAACUUGCUCAAGGUCACAUUUCUCAGGGCAGCCCACCUCCAGUGACUGGGCAAGAUGGAGUCCACAGGCCUGGCCAUUUCUGCUUGACCCAGGAUGGGAUGACCAGCAAUAUACACUUCAGAGCUUCCCACCAGCUUGGCCAAGACCUUGUCACACUGCAUCACAUUUAAUAUGUCCCUCCUCCAAUCCUCCUUCUACCCCCUGCCACACGUGAUGGUCCCUAAUAAACAUGCACCUAAAGUCCAUCUCAGCAUCUGCUUCCAGAGAACCCAGCUGGGACCCUUUACUUCACAGAUUUCCCAGGGGUGGUUCAGAAUCUUGCUUUACGCCUAGUCCCUCCCCGAAACCAGUAAAGCUGAGCUACAGCCCUCUAAAACACAUUCUGACCAAGCCAAAUCCAUAGCUACCAGAGAACGCUGGGGACGAUAUCAGAGAUGGCUGCUAGGGGAUCCAGUUGCCUAGAAAAAAAAAAAAUCUAUCAAGCCCAUCCUAGCCUCAGGCCCUAAGGCCUUUGCAUUUCAUGUUCUCUUUCAGGAAUGCUAAAGUUUGUGCCCAAUUCACCUUCUCAGACAAGUCUCUCUAGACCCCCAAUCAACAUGACCAUCUAUCUGCUCAACACACAGUCACCCCACUACACAUUGUGUUGUUUGUGAUUUUCUGUUGCAACAAAAACUAGAGGUAACCUUGGAUUCUUAGGUUUUCAGUGCCUGUCUCUUCCCACUGAAACAUGAAUCCCAUGAAGGCAGGGGAUCUUUUUACUUCGUUCCUCUCUUCAGCCCAGGACCUUGCAUUAUGUGUUAAGUAAGUAUCAGAUAGAGAAUGACUACAUGAAUAGGAUGGACAAAUGCUUUUUGAGUGGAAAAAAGAGACUCUAAGCAUUUAAUAUUUUAAAUAAUUUUUAAAAUCUUUUAAAUAGUUUGUUUCUCAAAUAUUUAUUUUUACUUUUUCUUUCUAGUUAAGGUAAGUGGCACUGGUUUUUACUUAGAGAAGGGACAGACAAACUUUCUUCUUCAGAGAGCCACUUACUAAAUAUUUUUGACUUUGCAGGUCACAGGGGCUUGAUUGUGACCAAGUAAGUUGCCCAAGAUUAUUCAGAUUUUUGGCUUUGCGGGUUACAACUACUUAACUCUGGUUGUAGCACAAAGGCAGCCAUUGACAAUACAAAGAGAAUGGGCAUGGCUGUGUUACAAUAAAACUUUAUUUGAAAAAACAUGUGGAUGUCUGAAUUUGGCUGGCAGGUUGUUACUUAGAGUAAUAAUAUAAGAUUUCCUACAAAUAACUUUAUUGAAGAAAAAAAGGAAGUCCAUUUAAAUAAAAGUAUUAACUAAAUAGCUAUAUAGAACCAAUAUGCAAAUUCCUAAUGUUGGUUAGUUCUAAUGUUUCUUGCAGCGUCUGUGGCCACAGCUGUGGAGGUGAGGGAAGGGAGAAAAACCUUUAAUUUAAUGUUGCCAAACAGGAUGGGAGGCUCACUUAGAUAUUCCCAAGAGCUUGGUACGGCCAGAGUUCUGCUUUUUCUUCCCUUGCUAUUCCUUCAUCCUAUAGUCUUUUCACCACCAACUCUGUCCCUAGAACUAGUGGUUGUCAUGAAAUGCUCUUGCUUGGUAAGCAAUCUUUCCAUGGAGUUUAAAUACCCCCACGUUGAAUGUGGCCCCAUUUACUUACCUCAUAAAUAUACCCUGAGCUUAAACAUAAACCUGACAGGGCACUGAGGAGGUAUGUGUGGCAGAAAGUGGCAAAGUUAGACUGAAAUUCCGAAACUUUCAGGGAUAAGAAUGGCUCAGCUAAGCUGAGCAAUUAACACAAACCAGGCCUGAUCUAAGCACUUCACAUGUAUUAGCUGAUUCAGUUCUCACCGUCCUCUUACAAUAAUGGUAUUAUUUCCAUUUACAGAUGAGACAACUGAGGCACAGGAGCUGGGUAAAUUUCCCAAGAUUAUCCAGUUAGCAAGAGGCAGAGCUAGGAUAUGAACUCAGGUCAUCGGCACCAGAGCCGUGCUGCUAACAUAUACACCUGUGAUGAUAUGCUAUGAAGUUCCAUGAGAUAGCAAUAUCAGUGUUUCCUAGGAGUCCAUCAAUUCACUAUUCUUUCUCCAUAACCUUUAAAAAAUCAUUUAUUUAUGUAUUCAUUCAUUAUUUUUAUUGAAGUGAAACUCACAUCAUGCAAAAUCAAACAUUUAAAAUAAUAAAAUUCAGGCUAGGAGCAGUGGUUCAUGUCUGUAAUCUGAGAACUUUGGGAAGCUGAGGCGGGAGGUUCACUUGAGGUCAGGAGUUAGAGAACAGCCUGGGCAAACAGUGAGACUCUAUCUCUACAAAAACAUUAAAACACAAAGUAUACAAUUUAAUGUAUAAGUGCCAUUUAAUGCAUUCACAAUGUUGUGCAAGCACCACUUCUCUUGAGUUUCAAUGCUUUUUAAAAAAUAACCCCAGGAAAAGACCCCAUAUCUAUGAAGUAAUCCCUCUCUAGUCCCUUCUUCCUCAUCUACUGGCAAUGUAAUUUGCUUUGUCUCUGGUAAUUUGGCUUCUCUGGAUAUUUUAUAUAAAAAUAAUCAUAUAAAUAGGUACCUUUUGUGUCUGGCUUCUUUCAUUUAACAUGUUUUCAAGGUUCAUCUAAGUUGUGGAAUGAAUCAAUACUUUGUUCUUUUUCUUGGCUGAAUAAUAUUCCAUUAAGUGGGUGUACUACAUUUUGUUUAUCUGUUUAUCUGUUGAUGAAUAUUUGGGUUGUUUCCAUCUUUUGACUCUUGUGAAUAGGGCUGAUAUAAACAUGCAUGAACAAAUAUUGGAGUAUCUAUUUUCAGUUAUUUUGAGUACAGACCUAGGAGUAGAAUUGCUGGGUCACAUAGUACUCAAUGUUUAACUUUUUUGAGGAACUGCCAAACUGUUUUCCAUAGUGGCUGUACCAUGUUAUAUUCCCAAUGAGGUAGGAGGUGGGACUGGACUCUGGACCAGACUGAAGACUGACUGAAACAGGGAAGAGGCAGCAGAAAACACAAUCACCGGUGCCAUGACAGUUGACCAUUGCCAUGGCAACGCCUGAAGAUUGCUGCCUUUUUCCAUGGCAAUGGCCUGGAAGUUACCACUCCUUUUCUAAAAAUAUCUGAAAACCUGCUCCCUAGUUUGCAUAUAAUUAAAAGUGCGUGAUUAAAUAUGGCUGCAGAACUGCUCCCGAGCUGCUGUCCUCAGCACAUUGCCCGUAGGGUAGCUGUGCUCUGCAGGAGCAGUCACAGAGUCGUAAGGCUGCCUCCUCCAUGAAGCUGUUUCCUUCUGCCACCCUCUCACUCUCCAAUUCUUUCCUAAGUGAAGUCAAGAGCCUUUCUGGGCUGAGCUCCGAUGUUGGAGUUCUCCUGGCUUGCUCCUACUUCCUCACAUCAUUACCAACACUGAUUAUUUUUCAUUUUUUGAAGUUUUUGUCUUUUAAUAUGUUAAUAGCUAUCCCAGUGGAUUUGAAGUGUUAACUCAUUGCAGUUUUGAUUUGCAUCACAUUAAUGGCCAGUUAUGUUAAAUCGCUCCUCAUUGGCUGGACAUGGUGGCUCAUGGCUGUAAUCCUUGGGAGGCCAAGGCAUAGGAUUGCUUGAGCUCUUGAGUUUGAGCCUGUAUUGAUCUGUGAUUGUGCCACUGCACUCCAGUCUCCAGUCUGGUGACAGAGCAAGACUCUGUCUCUAAAAACAAACAAGUCAAACGAAUGAACAAAAAAUCUCAAAACAUCCCUUUAUUCGUUUUUUGCUCAUCUGUAUAUCUGUUUCGGAGAAAUAUCCAUUCAAGUACUUUAAUUGGGUUGUAUAUCUUUGUAUUGUUCUUUUGUAAGAAUUCUUUGAAUAUUCUGAAUGUUAUCUCCUUAUCAGCUGUAUAAUUCGCAAAUAAUUUUUUCCCAUUCUAUAGAUUGUCUUUUUACUUUCUUGCUAAUGCCCUUGUAAGUGCGUCAGAUGAAUAUGGUUUGUUUCUCACUUGCCAUGGACCCUCAGGUUGAAGGUGGUGUAACCUGAGCAUGCCCAGAUGAACAGUGUGCAACCACAAGGGGGAUCUAAGUGCUUGGACCAAGGAAUGGGAAUGUAACUAAAAAACGGGAACAGUUCAUAGCAGGACCCAGUCAGAUCCUGCCUCCCAACUUCUCUUCAUUGUGAGAUCCAGUCAGAUCAUGGCACCUUACCCUAUCCUUAUAAAACCUGACCCAGACCCCAGCUCAGGGAGGCAUUGCUUUGAGAGCUACCCGCUGUGUUCUCCUUACUUGUUGUAAGUAAUAAAAUUCCCUUCUAAAUCCUUCCUGGCUGUGUCCAUUGGGCUGUCAGCUGCUAAGCAACGAAACCCGCCUAUUGUGUGGAUAACAUCUUUUGUUGAACAAAAGUUUAUAUUUUUCUGAAUUCCAAUUUAUCUAAUUUUUUUUUCUUUCAUUGCUUGUGCUUUUAGUGUUAAAUCUAAGAAUCCCCUGCCAAAUUUAAGGUCAUGAAGAUUUACCCUUAUGUGUUCUUCGGACAGUUUUUGUUUCGGCUCUUAUAUUUAGGUUAUUGUUCCACUUCCAUUGAUUUUAAGAGAACCUAACACAGACCUGGUUAGGGAGGAUGGGAAGACUUCGGCAGAGCCACACCGCCUCAAGUGAAAAAACAUGCAUUUGGUUUUCAGGCCCUCCCUACUCUAGUGUGACCUCAUCUUAAUUAAUGACAUCUACAAAGACUCUGUUUCCAAAUAACGUCACAUUCUGAUGUUCUGAGUGGACAUGAAUUUUGGGGGGCACACUGUUCAUCCCAGCACGCCCCUCUAGUUAACUUGAGACAGAGGAUAGUGGCUGCCUCCCAGACAGCAGGAGAAGGAAAAAUCCCAGCAGAAGCAGCGGCUUAAACAAACCCUCAGCCAGGAGCAUGGUGGUUGGGUGGGGAGAAACAAUGUGAAUACCAAGGGUAGUAGUAUGGUGUGACAGUGGGAACCCCCAAACCACAGCUCCUUUCAAGGGAGUUUAUGAGUGAUAAAUGCCUCUGAAGAGUCUGGGCAGUGUGCAGAGGUGAAGGAAGGGCGACAGGCUAACCAGGCUGUGUGUGAGAACAGCCUUUGUUUUCUUGUCCUACUUUUAAUUUUUGUAUGUGUUAACCUUUUUCCUUGAGACAAAGCAUACUUACAAUAGGAGUGCAUAAAGGGCACUAAUCUUAACUGUACAGCUUGGAGGAUAUUUACAUAGGCAUGGGCUCAUGUAACCAUCAUCCCGAUGAAAAAGCAGCAUGCUUCCAGCACUCUGACAGGUACCCCAGCGUUAGGGCCUGCCUCAUGGCUGUGCAACCUCUGUAAUGCUCCGAAGGUCUCACACUUGGUUUAAUGCUCUACUGUCACUGUACUGGCAUUUUUAAACAAGGGGCCUUGCAUUUUCAUUUUGCACUGGGCUCAGGUAACCCCUAUUCUCUUCUUUCCAUGAGUACAAAUAUUUCAAGGUUCCGCUCAAGUCCUACCUCCUUCAAAAGGUUUCCCUGACUCCUCCCUGCUCUCUGGGUAACUGUCUGUCCUGAGUUUCUAUAGGAGCUAUGCCUGCCAAAUACCACUCAGUGCUUGGUCACAUGAAUUACACUCAGCCCUUGGUAGUCUCUGUUUUCUCUGUGCUAGAAGUUAUGUCUUGUCCAUCUGGUUAUGAACUGACGAGCAUUGGUAAAAGCUCCCACUCCUGCGCACUCUGACGUGAAACAUUGAGAAUUAUUGAGAUCCACAUUUCAUCUCUUGUUUUAACCUGCAAAAUUCCUUUAUUUAUCUUGAUGUCCCACCGUGCACCCAGCCUAGUGUCUCUAUCAAGUUCAAUAAAUGGUGGCUGGCCUUUUACUGCUCCUUCUUCCUGUCUUAUUUCUGACCAGGUGGCUUUGCUGCAUCCCGGUAUUCUAGAAUGUGAAGGCAGGAAGGGAUCUGAGACUCAUCAGGUCAAAUCCAUCUAUGAAUGGAGGAGACUCAUAGAAGUCUAGUGUCUUACCCAAGGUUAUACAGCUAGUAGGGGCACCAUAGGAAGGUUAGGGCACUUUCCUCUGUAGUCACCUCCACCCCUUCGUCCCUUCCUCUUUACAGAUGUGGACCCCUCCUGUGAGUGCAGGUUGGGGGGUAGCCCUCUCCCUGCCAGGAGCAUCUGACCUGAUUCUCCCUGAGACUGGCAGUCUGUCACCGGAUUGGCUUCCAGCUUCCUCUGCAGAAUGGCUCCCUGGAGGCUCCCUGAGAAGCUCAGGAACCAGCUGCCUUAAACCGGUUUCCAGAUGUUUCCACCUCAAAUUGAGGAAGCAGGAGGAGGGGAAGGGGCUGGGAGUUUGUCCCUUAAAUGAAGUCACCAGAUCCCUAAUAAAUAAUGUCAUGAACUGAUGGAGCAGGUGGUCAUGGAAGAUGCGGUGAUGCAGAGGAGGUCCUCAUGAGGCCCCGUGUGAAGGUGGGAGAGGCGGACAGACGGACAGGCAGGUAGAACAUUUGGAGGCAAGGACAAGAAGAAGAGAUAGAUGGAAAUCAGAGACUGAGAGGGGCCAGGGAGAGCCCGUGAAAUUAUGAAUAUACGAGAGAGAAAAGGGACAGAGAAAAAAAAAGUGUCCUGUGAACUAACUCAUGAAAUGUUUUAGUCAAGUCUGACUUUGCUGCUCUUAGUUCUAAUUAUACCUAGUAUACCAGAUACUAUUAUCCAUUGCUGUAUGACCAACCAUCCCAAGACUUAAUGCUUUAAAAUAAGUAUUUUGUUAUAUUUCAUUAUAUUUCUUAUAUUUUAUUGUAUAUUAUGAUUUUGUGGCUGGGAAUUUGAGCAGGGCUGAGCUGGAUGGUUCUUUCACACUUCGUGGUGGCAACUAGAGUUACUCAUUGAUGCACAGCUGGCAGACAGAUUGGUUUGGCAGGUCCAGGAUGGCUCCAAUCACAUGUCUGGUGCCUUGGUGGGACUGGCUGGAGGUCUGGGCUCACCUGGGCCCCUCUACCUCCCCAUGUAGUCUCAGGCCUUGCCAUGUGGUCUCUGCAGCAGGCUAGUCAGACUUCUUACAUGGUGGCUCAAGGCUCUAAGAGUGUUUCAAGUGACCCAGGAAGAAGCUACAUGGCUUCUAAGGACCUGGCCUUCAUAGUCCUGGAGUGUCACUUGGCCACAUUCUGUUGGUCCAGUAAGUCUUUAAGGCCAGUGCAGAUUUAAGGGAGGAGAACUAGACCUUCCUGCUCAAUUGUGGCAGUUUUAAUCAAUCACAGAUCCUUUCCAGUCACAAGACUUUUUACAUGGCAGCUAUGAAUUUGGGGGGUCUUUUCUUCUCUAUGAGAGGCUGUAGGAUAUGAGCCUCAACUGUUCCAUCCACUGCUAGAUGUUGUGGCCAUUUAGCUCCUGGUGUUGCAGUUCCUGUCUUGAGCUGGGCCUCCAGAGACAGGAUGCCAGAUCCUGAAACAUGAGAGAGGUGUUCUGGUUUAGAGACACAGGACAGGAUGUCAGGGACCAAGGACCACAUCGAUGUAACAAAGAAAAGGAACCCACCCCAGAAGUGGUAUCUUACUAAGGUCAACAGCAAACAUGAUAGCUGGUACUUAUGUACUAGGGCUCAUUCUGAAGUGUCAGUUACAUGUACUAACUUGAUAAAUAUUUUUAGCAGCCCUAUGUGUAAGUACUACAUGUGUGCCCAUUUUAUAAAAGAAGAUACUGAGGGACAAAGAGCUUAAGCAACUUGCCUGGGCUCAUACUGCUGCAAAAUGAAGAACCAGGAUUCAGACUCAGGCAGCCUGGGUCCAGAUACCAUGGGACCCAAAUAAACUGUUAAAACUAGUAAUUGUCCCUCUAAUACUCAGGAGCACUGAGGUUUACUGCCAUUAGCUGGGGGUUCACAAGUCUAUCACCCAUAUUACUGAGUUAACUAACCUUUUGUAGGUAACCAAAUGUUCUUUUUGGGAAUUUGUAGGUUUCUGAGCUAACAAACAAUCCUUUUCUUCAGCUACCUAUUAAGGUCAGGGUGACAGGGCAUACCUAUUCAUUUCCCAUGGUGUCCUAGGGCUCCUAUGCAAAUUAACAAAAAUAAUUCUGGGUUAGAUUGUAGCUUCAUCAUUGCAAACCUGGGUUGUUGAUGUAAAGUCACAUUAUGGUUUUGCUGAGGAUCCAGUGGGUGUGUGUGUCAGUGCUAAGCACCUUAAUGUGGAAAUCUGAGAUCUGAGUUUUCUUUUUGAGUCAGCAGGGUCUAGAAGCUAUGCAACAUCCAGACUUUCACAAGAAAAAACUGAUGUAGGAUUCCCGUCUAGGCCUCCCAUCUCUCCUAAUCCCACAUCCUGACCCCCCUCCUCCUAGCUGUGUGCACUUUGCCUUUACCCUUCUAAACUCAUUUCCUUCUCAGAAAACCGCAGGAAGCCCCUUUGGGAAGAAAUCGUCUCACUCUUCCAGGCAUUUUCUGGGAUUGGAUAGUCGAGGCCGUUUGGCAGAGGUGAGCAUUAUGGGCCUGGCAUCACGUAGGAUCUGUUUUUGGCCCUCCGGCUGUCUCCUUCCUCCUACGUGGAUGGCAGAUGGCCUGUAUUUUUAAUAAUUAAAAAAAAAGUAGGAGGGAAAUCAGGCUCAGCAGGAGGAAUUUGGAACCAUCCAGGCAGUGCAAUUGAGCUGUGAAUUUGUUUGUUUGGGAAUUGGAAAUCGUGUCUUCCCAUUAAACAGGCUCGUGCCCUCAGCCACUUCCAGGAAACUUCGAGGGUCCUACGUAAUGAUUUUCAUCACCAGGUGUCUGCUGGGGGUGGUGAAUGGAUGGAAGCCACUGGCAGUCCCCGGACCUUGUCCUCAUAGAACUGUACCUCCCAGAGGCCAUGACAGAUAAUCUGUGAAACCUUCACCCCCUAAUCUAUUCUUAGCUUCUCUGCCUGGGAGGCAGAGAUCUCAAAUGAUUACACAAAGCCUGCAAGACCAGCUUUGGGAUAUUUAGAGAAAAAGAGAAAAUGUCCAGCACUAAGAGAAAAGAUAAGGCAUCUAAAAAGAGAUGGUGGAGGUCUGAGACCCUGUUGGGUUACACAGUAGCGUGUGGGACUGUUAACUUCAUUUAUUCCUCAUUUAGUGGGGAGUGGGAGGCAUGGAGGAGAAAGCGCUGGACUGGAAUGCAGACUCCCAGGUCCAUGGCCUGGCACCCCGAACCUUGUGGUCCUUACCUUGUCAUCUGCCUUUUCUGGGUCUCAGUAUUUUUUUUUAAUUUGUUAAAGAACAAAACUGAAUUGUGCGAGAGGUUGAGAGAGCUGAGAAAGGUUGGAGAAGCAGUCUUCCUGUACAUAACCUGAUUGUCUGCUGAGGCACAGAAAGAUCUCAGCAGCCUUGAAGGCUGUGAGCCAUUGGCAAGGUGACCAGAGAAGUGACUGCAUUUUGUUUUGGAAAAACCACCAGUAUACAUAGGCAGCAUGAAAGAGGUUGGGUAGGCUCAGAUAUGUAGGUUCUUAGGCCACCUUUUCAUCCUCAACAGGCUACAAAAGGCUAGUUGGGACCCCAGAGCACAUUUCUCCAAUUCCCUGACCACCUGCUCCCUCUCCAUCAGCAUCCCCUUUCCCUGCUUGCUUAACGCUGUGUUGGGAUUUCCAGAGAGUGGGUUGAAGCAGCUCUGAUGGUGCAAGGGCCUGGCUGGGCAGAGUGCCAGUCCUCCCAUCACCGGUUCUGUCUGGAGACAACUGCAUCUCAGCACCUCAAGUUCUGGCAGGAAGGGAUUGGAUGAACAUUCCAAGAGCUCAGGCAGGAAGGAAAGUGACCCCGUCGGCCUCUUCCCCCAGCUUUCUCAGUAAGUCCAUGCUGGAUCCCACUGACCAGCUGCCACCAGGGGCGAGUCAGCCCAGCAGAUGGUGUGAGGCUGGGCUGGGAGAGGCGCGUCAGCCAGCCGUGCCACCCUCUGUAAUUUGAGACAUUCUGUUCUCGAAGUUCCCUGCUCUCCUCUGCCUGUCCCUUCAUCUUCCAGCCUGCUUCCCUUUCUUCUUUCCCUCCUCUUUCUGGCUCCCUUCUCCCUUUCCCUCCCCAUAUUCUCUCUUUAACUGCUACUCCCUUUUCUUUAUUUUGUUUUAGCCAUUUCAGUGUUUGAAAAAGAAAGAGUCCUUGUGGCUACCCCUAGGAAAGGGAGGGGCACAAGUUGAGGUAGAACUCUUUUU